rnacentral:lncRNA from 1 species
GGAGUUGAUGUAACAUAUUUUGUCAAAAUGUAAUCAAAUUUGAACUAAUGGAACCUAAUUGAUUAAAUGAAAAUAAAAAAAAUAAAAUCGUACAUAGUUCAGGUGCCCAGUCUUUUAAAAUUUGGAUUUUACUUUCCAAUCUUUCAAUUUUUUUGAUUUGUGUCAGUGAACAGUAAUUUGACUUAAUUUAAAUGCGUUAUUUAUUUUUACAGACUUAGUUAGUAUAAUUCAUGCAAUUAAUUCUCGCACCUGCAAAUUUAUUAAAAUAAACAAUUAUCUUGAAUUUCAAAGUCAAAAUAUAAUCAAAAAAUUAAGUAAUAAAAUUAAAAUUUUAAACAAAAAUAUUGCUGCAAUUAAUCCUAAGCCACCGUUUGGUUCGGGAUUAAAUAAAAAUUUAUUAUUUCAGGGAUAGAGUUAAGUUCUGGAUUAAGGUGGGGUUAGAGCAAUUUUGUGUUUGGUUGAAAAUUAGGUUUAAUCCAGAUAUAAAUAAAAUAGUGUUUGAUUUUAAUAUAUGGGAUAAGAAGGAUAGUCGGUAAAAUAGUGUUUUGUUUGAUUGGAGUAGUGGGAUGAGGUAGGGUUAGCUAACCCCGCCUCCCAAAUUGAAUGUUUUGAAAUAACUUCGGGAUCAAAGAAUUAUUCCACCCUUAAUUCCGAACCAAACUGGUGCUAAAGAAAAAAUUUAACUACAGAGGCAACUGCUCCAGUUGCGGCCGCCGCGGAGUUGACCGUUGACUCGACCGCGCACAGCCUCGCGCGCACGUGCUCAGAACCCCGGGGCGGUCUUUUGGUGGGCCACCCCUUGUCGGGCCAAUUAGACACGUUCCUCCGCACGUGCGUACGACCUCCUCUUUUCCUCCUCCGCCGAAGUGACGAGUUCCACCACGCCAACGCCUUUUCGUUGCGCGGAGGAGUUAAGAAACCAAGGAGAAGUAAAAAAGGAGCACCAAAAAAAAAAAAAAAGGUCUCUCUCUAUAUAGAAGUCGGAAAUGGAGUUUACAGCGCGGAGGAAGUCGAGUUCCGCAGCCGAAGUCGCGUCGGUGACCGUCACCGCGCGCGUGGGUGGUUUACAUGCGCCGUAAAAGCUCGGAAAACCGGGGGGUCGCAGCUUGGGCUGUCAACGAUCGAGGUCCCAUAAGUGGCCAGAUACGGUGCUGCUCGUUUUCGCUCGUUUAUUAAAUAAUAAAUAAAUAAAUCGAAUGCGAGCUAAUUUGUCGAAUUAUCAAAAUAAAAAAUUUCAGUUUUCGUAGACAGUAAGUUUGAUUGUCAGUUCUGCUGCUACUGAGUGAAAAGUUGAAAAUAAGUUCAAAAAUUAAAAUUUUAAUCUAAUAAUUAAAAUUUCAAAAUAUAGGUAUCUUUUUAUUUAAAUUGGUCUAAAAUUUAAAUAAUAUAUACAUAGAGAGAACUAAGCUAUUAUACUAUUAAUAGAACUAAGCGCUUUGUGCUAUUAGGUUUUCGACCCUUAGAUGAAGAGAUAUAUAUGCGGUUAGGAAGAUAGUGAUUCCCAAUUAGAAUGAUAGUAGUCUCCUAUGAUUGAGUGGGUGGUUGAUUGAAUAGUGUGAUCUAACGGAUAUAAAUGAUCAAAUGAGUAGAUCUAACAGCGAAAAAAUUAAUAGCAAUAAGUCAUUGGUGCUAUUAGGUUUAUUAUUAUACUAUUAAUAGCACCAAGUUAUUGGUGCUAUUAGGUUUUCGACCUUUAGAUGAAAGGAUGUGCAGUUAGGAUGAUAGUGGUUUCCCAAGGUUCAGUGAAUGAUUGGUUGAUCAUCUAACAAGUGAAAAUGGUCAGAGAGGUAAAUCUAAUGGCGAAAACUCGAUAGCACCAAGCGCUUGGUGCUAUUGAUUCUCUCUCUCUCUCUCUCUCUCUCUCUCUCUAUAUAUAUAUAUAUAUUAAGCUCUUAUGCAUUUAAAAGUACCAAGUUAUUCGUGCAUGUACAUUUUUGCCAUUUGGAUUAAGAAAUGUGUGGAUGAUAGUAGUUUUUUAGGGUUGAGUGAGUGAUUAGUUAAAUAGUAUGAUCUAACGGAUAAAAAUGGUCCAAGGGAUACAUCUAACAGCCGAUCGAUGAUGUAAAUAAUAUCGAUUACUAGGUAAAUGAUAUUAAAAAUACUUAUGAUCACUAGAUAAAUGAUGUUGAAAAUCUGCAAAAAUUAUUUUUCAAAUACUUCAAAUACGCUAGAUCAAGUCUAACGGAGCCAAUUGUCAAUUCGAAAGUCCCAUCAUUGAAAGCGGCUUUAUAUCAUCCAGAACACAUGAUAAUUCUCGUGCCUCCAGAGGCAUGAGAANUAUAUAUAUAUAUAUAUAUAUAUAUAUAUAUAUAUAUAUUUGUUCGAGCUAUAUCGAGCCGAAUUUGAGUGAACUGAUUCCUUACCCGUGUUCGGCUCGCUAAGAUUUCGAACUUAAGAAAUUAGCGCAUAGUCGACUUAUUUAUUAAACGAACGAUCGCCCUCAAACUCAUUUCCUGUCGACCAUGAAUUGACUCGCAAACAGCGAGUUGAAUUGCUAGCCCUACUUUGAGACGGCGUAAAUAGCGCAUUCGUCCCUGAACUUUUAGUCAAGUUUUUUAUGUGGUUCUCGAUAUUUUGAAAAAUAUUUUAUAAGAAAUUACUGCCUACAGUUGUUGACAUUCUCAGACGCGCUCCAUCCGUCUCAUACGUCUCAAUAGUUUGAAUUUUAAGCAUGAAAAAGGUUGCAACUCUGUGGAUAAUAGGAUUGCAACAUGAUACCCUAAAUUCUAGAGAGAAUAAAUGCGCGGUGUGUGUCACUGCAACUGCUUUAAUUUUUUGGCAUUUUAUUUUUCUGCAUCAGUAAAUAAAAGAUGAAAACUAAAGAAAAAUAUAUUCUUUCACCAGAUUAUAUUUGUAAAUUGUAUUUUGUUAUAAGUUCUAGCUAAAAUUUUCUACACUUUUAUAUAUAAUCAAGUCACUCAGUACAGUAUAGUUGACUUAAAAGUGGCGUAUACAUAACUGUAAUAUGGUAGUGUUAGAAUUGAUCAUGUAGCAUUGUGUGAACUGCAGGGCAUGUCACUGUCGCAUCAACUACACAUCAUCAUUAUUCAACAAGCUAAAUUGGAAUGCGAGACUAAAUUGCUUAUAACAUUCUUGAAAAUUGAGCCAAUAAUUAUAAUAAAUUAAAGUUUGAGAAUCAAAGUGUCUUAGCGUCUUUGUUUCAUAGCUUGUCGAUGAAAAUAGUAAUUCAACUCUAUAUAUUUAUAAGAGUUAUAGGAUAUCAAAGUUUGAGAACUGAAAGUGAAACUUAGACCGAAGUUUGGGGACGGGUAGUACAAUUUAUCCAUUUGAGAAAUGAGAAUAAACAACUGACCGUCUCUAGCGCGCAAGUGGCAAAGAACUUGGUGGUUGGUAUCCGAGGUCCCAAAUUCGAAUCCUAGUUGAUUCACAUUUCUAGCUAAGCUUAUUUCUAAAUGAAAUAAACGAAGCGGGUAGCAUGCUAUCUAUCUCUCAUUAAAAAAAAAAAGAAAAAAGAAAUGAGAAUAAACUUUUCAAACUUCAGGGAUGGAGAAAUUGGGAGCACUUGAGAUCCAGAGACUCAUAAGCUUGAAUCAAGUUUGAAUAUUUCCUACAGCCUCCAUCUUAUCUGAAUUUUUUUAAAGAUUAUAUAAUCAAGUCCCUUGAUAUUGACUUGGCCUUUUAUAAACUUACACAAAGCACUUUUGUUUGCAAUCACAUAUAUAUAUAUAUAUAUAUAUACUUGACAUUUUCCUGGGGAACAUUAAACUCUGGGCUGGUAUAACUAAACUCAAAUUGGUAUAUAUCCUUCCAAUUAGGAUACAUAAAUAUCUUUGACUCUGUCUAUUCCGUGCAACCGUCGUAAUUUAUUUAUUAGUAUAACUCUUGAUUGACCAGCUCAUGAAAUUUGCAUGAAAAGUCACCAACUGUUAGAUCGGUUAUUGAGUGUUUUGCAUUAGAAACGAUUGAGUUAUUACAGAAACUACUAUUGCCCCACGACUCAAACAUGCUGACCUACUUUCACUAAUAAGCGAAAAAUCUAACAUGAGAAAUGAAUGAGUCUAUUUAUGCGUUUUUAUUAAUAGAGAGCACUUGAUUGACCAGAUCGUGAAACCUGCAUAAGAAGUCUCCAUUUGCUAGCUAGGUCGGCUAUUAGAUAUCUUAGAUUAAAAUUCAUUAGAGAAAUGAAACUAAUAUACUAUAUAUUGCACUACAACUCAAAUAGAGUGACCUACUUUCACCAAAAAGCGAAAAAUCUAACAUAAGAAAUGUAUGAUUCUAUUUGUGCCUUAACAUCUUAAGCUUAUUUUUAGACCAAGCUUGUAAUUCCUAAUAUUAUAUUUGGUUAGGACGGAAUUCAACUUCAACAUUAGAAGAAAAACAAGCAACAUGACCAAUGAGGAGAAGGAAAUCUAAGUUGAAUACAUGUAGCACAAGUACAAGUUUGAUCCUACCUCUAUUUUUAAAACUCCCAAGUUCAUUGAAUGGAUAGGGGGGGAGGUUGGUUAGCAUUUCCAUAUGUUUUCCACUUUAAACUAGUAUGCAAUUUUAGAAUAAUUUUUACCUGAGUAGGUAAACUAGUGAUCAAAACAGUAUCAUCUAACUGUAGAUCUCUUAAAUUAUAUGGAAGCACAUACGGACUUGAAAUUUUUUAAUAGAGCCAUAACGUGAACUUGAAUUAAAAGGGCGAAAAUCGAUAACGCUAUAAGCCUGACGUGAAACCUCCUACUUUGAUAUUAUAUUAAAUUAUAUAAAAUAACCGUCAUUCUCCAAAAAAAUUAAGUUAUCAGUAUUUUUAAUACUUAUAUCUAUAUUUAGAGUUAAUUUUAAAUCUUUUGUUUUGUGAGGUCGUAAGUGAGUUUAAUCCCCAUCUUUGACAUUUAACGGGUCCCAACCUUCUGGACUCAUUUUUUAUUAAAUCGAUUUUUUUGGUAACAAAAUCAAACUUAUAUAUUUCUGGAUCUGUUUAAUUUCUACUAAAUCGAUUCUUUGGAUAACGAGAUCAAACAAAUGACAAUAAAUUCCUCUUAAACAGUAACUGUGAAAAUCUGAAGGUAUUCUGAAAACCUUAUUAUAUAUCCUGCAGUAAAUAGCCACUAAUUUCAUUCAAAGUACCCAAAAGCAAUCUCGAAUCAAAGAGAUGUGAGCAAUGAUUUUAGAAUCUAAAAUGAUUCUUGGAGUUUAUACUGAAUAUAGAUAAAGAACUAAUUAAGUACAGGAUAAAGAACUUAAGUAUAGGAUCUUCUCUAACACUAAAGUCCCUGUAUAUCAUAGUCAAUAUUAAUUGCAGCAUAUAUAUAUAUAUCAGGGUUUGAGUCCCCAUUAUCAGGCCAGUAAUGUUGUACCUGCAGUAAACCAAAACUAAUUGCUAAGAAACCGAAUAAACUCUAAUGGUAUGGUUUUGAUCUCGAAUUAAAACCACACAUGUUAUGCUAAUCCAUUUGCUCAAAUUCAUGUUUUUCCACAUUAAUUAUACCCAUUUGAUACAUGUAAUUAAUAGAGCAUUAAAUUCUAAUGAAUUCUUCUUAUGAGAACACCGAACACUUCACCAGUUUUGCUUCUUUGUGACAUCUUCAAUAGCUCCACUAGAAAAACCUUUUUUUUUUUUAAUAGCUUAAAUCAUAUCCAAUGAAAUGUUUAUAAUUCAAAAGGGGCUCUCCCUACUAUCUCAAACUCAGCAAUUAAGAAAUCAAACACAUUAUUUCCUCCUCAGGAAACCAAAUUUUAUAUCUUUGGUGCUAACAUAACAUAUAUACAUACAAUUAAUUUAGCCAUCUCUUCAUCACAUUGGAAGAGCAUAGCCAACCCAAAACAAAUGAUGGGAAUCGGAAAAAAGGAAAAUUAAUAGAAAGAAAAUGGAAAAAAAAAAGAAGCACAAGCUCCUCUAAAUAUUCCUAGUUAAGGAGGAGGAGGGGACAGCUGAAGAAUCCUCCCCGAAAUCGCCGUCGCGAGCGCGGCCUUAAACCCGGGAUCCUUCGUCAACGACAGCGCCAUUUGCUCGACCAAGCUCUUAUUGAUCUCCUGCAUCUCCUUCUCCUUCCUCGGCUCCGGUCGGACGAGAUCGAGCGCAGCGUUAUUCGAGCCAUUCGAGCCGACGACUGCACCGCUGUGGCCGCGAACCGAGCCGUUGCUGUGCCCUUCGUGCGGCGGAGCGGGGCGGCCGUGGUUGUGCUCGCCUUCGUACGUCGCGACUAAGAUCGACGUGUCCUCCGCGCUUCUUUGCACCUGAUUAUAUUGCACAGAUGAGCGUUCGGUUAGAUGCAAUCAUUAUAUUUCCUUGUUCCUUCAAGCACAACAUAAAAGACAAUCAGUUUCGAUAUCCAUUUAUCCUUACUUUCUUCUUAACUUGGCAAGACGGGGCGAACGAGCAUCUAAAAUAAGCUCUUGGGCACGGAUUAUCUCUCGUCACCUUUUGCCCGUAUUUUCUCCACUGGUACCCAUCUUUCACGACCUAAAUACAAUAACAGCAUUAGUGACUGAGCUUGUAGAUCAUGCAAAACUUUCAGAUAGGCGGAAAAAUUGGAAAAAAAAAAAAAAAUACAAAGUAAGGAAUUGAAACUCACAAGGCUUAAAUCCGAAGGAUCGGUGCGGACGUAGACCUUCGCGAUCUUCGGCUUGCACUCCUCCCUUAUUCGCUUGCACGAGUCUUCGCUGGAGGUGCACUCCAUUUGAUUCGCGACGUAGUUCAUCGUCGUCGUCGUCGCGGGGGGGUUUGUCGCGGCCUCGACCUUCCUCUUCCUCGACGGCGAGACCGACCCUCCGUCGGAGGAGGAGGUGGCCAUCAAAUCAUGCAGCUGGCUCUGCAGCGUCGCGUACUUCGCGACCACGGUCGCGAGCAUUUCGUUGAGCCUCUUGUUCUCUUCGCUCACCCGAUUCAGCUCCGCCUCGAGAGCUCCGAUCUAAUAUAUACAUAUCAGAUAAUUAGAACAACAUAUCUAACUAAUUAAGCAUGCUCGCGAAGAAGAAAGGAGCUUAAUUAAUUACAUAUUUACAUGUACCUCUUCAUCUUUCAUCACCAAGAACUUGUCCUCCACCACAUGCUUGGGAUUAUUUGAGAGCACCCCUUUCUGAUGACAUCAAUAACAAACAAAAAAGGAAAAAAUUAAUCAAUCAAUCCAUCAAUAAAAUUGAUUCUCCUCUUCUUUAACUACUCGGUUGCUCAAAAUGGAUCAUGAGCAUGGAUUUCUCGAACUCACCGAGAAGCCGACGUUGAGAUCGAGAUCGAGCGACGAAUGGUUAAUCCAUGCCGAACCCAUAACCAGCGGGGGCGAAUUCAAAUUAAGUUGGAUAUCUAUUAAUUUGAAAAGAAGGAGAAGGAGAAGGAGAAGAAGAAGAAGAAGAAGAGAAGAGUUUGAGAGAAGGAGAGAGUAUAUUGGGGGUGUAUAUAUAGAGCCCAAUUGAGAGAAGNAAGGGGGGAAAGGGUAAGAGAUGGAAAACUGUGACACAUGCAUCAUCCUGGAAACGUCAGGAAAUCACUGUCACAAGCAAAAGAAAAAGAAAAGAAAAGAAAAUAAAAUAAAGUGGUUUUUUUAAGAAGCGAAAAAAAAAAGGGGGGGAGGGGGGAUAGGUAUGGGGAUGGUGCCAUGUCGGUCACCACACGGAAGUCGUAGUAUUGGAGAGUUCGAGUCAAGAUAAAACACUGCACCCAAAAAAAGAAAAAAGAAACAAAAAAAAAAAGAAAAAAAAAAGAAGAAAGAAAAGAGAGAGAGAGAAUAGAAGAAAGAUCGAUGAUGCCAAGGAGGAAAAAGACAGGCUGGAGGUGGGGGCCGGGGGGAGGACUAUGGAGGAAGGAGGGAAGACUUCUUGACUUUGUUCUCUUUUGGGAUUUCUGGAAAACUAAAGUAUAUUCCUCCUCCUGCUGGCUUGUUUUUCUGUCCUUCGGUGCCGCCCAAUAAUUUUAUUAUUAUUAUUAUUAUUAUUAAAUAAGUUAAAUCUUAAAAAAAUAAUUAAAUUUAAUAAAAUUUUAAAGUGCUACAAGUGAAAUCAGCUUUGCUAGCCUACUCGUUCCAUCGAAGGUCAAGUUGAGAUUGAAAUUAAAUACUAUAUAUUAAGAAAACUUUAAAUACUAUUUCUAUAGUUUCGCACUUUUCUAUUUAAGUACCUAAUAGUUUAAAAUGUAUCAAUUUAGUAUCUCAUGAUUUUAUUUUAUUUUUUUUAUUAUCCGCUUUACUAAUUAUUUUUUCGUUAAAUCAAUGACAAAGAUAAAACUGAAAGUAUAAAAGUGAAUAUUCGAUAAAUCUACGUGGGUAUCUGAAGUUUUUUUAAAAAAUUGAAACUAUUUGGUUGCUUUCACAUGCUCUCUUAUUCCAACGCUACAAACUGGUGAUGAAAAAUACCACUGAAAACAUAUUGGAUCAAAAAGGAUCGAAAUAUACAGAUUUGGCAAGGUCAGGUAUAUAUACUCAAAACUUACUUAUUCUUUUAUUAAGGAUCAUAUGUGAAAACUUGCUUUUAAUACGGUAGAAAAAUAACCGAUCAUCCCUAGCGCAAGUAAUAAAGGAUUUGAUGAUUGGUACCCGAUAUUUCAAGUUUGAAAUUCAGUUACUUAACAUUUCCAGAUAAGUUUAUUUUUUAAAAAAAUAAACGAAACAGAUAAUUAACGUGUUAUUUUUCCCUCAAAAAAAAAAAGUUACAGAUCUUUAAUAUAUGACAAUUAUGUUUUUUUUUUUUUUUGAAAAAUAGGUAGUAAGCUACCUGCUUCAUUCAUUAAGUAACAUAAAUUUAGCAUACAAAUUGGAAGCAGCUAGGGCCUCUGAACUGAGGAAACGAGAGAAAAACAAGAGAACAAAAAUCAGAUCCGUGCGACUCAGGAAACAAGUGAAAUCCAAACUAAACAAAAAUAGAAAAACAAAGGGCAAAGCGCAGAGCUCGGGAGAGAAUCAAAGUGCUUCGUUCCAGGAGUGAGCAACACAAUACAAUAAGUUUGGAAUAUUUGCAAUUGGAGCUGUCAAACUUGCCCCUCACUCAAAGCAUUGAUUGGUUCCAAAAAAAAAAAAACAAUUGAAAAAAUAAAAAAUAAAAAAGUGGUGGGGCUCCAAAACACACAGCAAACACGUUUAGAUCUAAAACAACUAAAAUAAGAAAAAUUUAAUAUUACAAAUGAGUAGGCGUUACGUGUUGACCAAGUGCUAAUUUAAAUAUAGGGUUGUUUAAUAAGUUUUUAAUUUUAAUAAUAUUACUAAACAAGAAUUCCGUUCUUACCCAAUUUUAUCUAUUUUACGGAGUUGCAAAGUGGAUAAAUAUUGAGAUGCGCGUACAAUGUGACGUACCAGCUCAUUUAUCUCAAAUUUUUUAAUCUAUUUGUAACAAUGGUAAAUUGCAGUGGAUAAAUUGGUUCAAUUUUUAAUGUAAAAGGUUAAGUAAAACAUGCCCAUAGUGUAAGAGGGACUUCAUAAAUCUCAACUACUAAAGAAUAUUAAUAAAAUUUCUAACAACAAUUUCAUAGCUUUUUUUCUAAUUUAUUUCUUUACAACUUUGAGAGGAUAAACACGAUAAGAUUGUUGGAGUCAAAUCUUUUACGACUUAGUGAGCAGACAAUUCCUGUAUAUUGCUGGCGCGAUCAUUUUUUUUAAAAAAUACUUCAUCUUUUACCUAAUCGAAAGUUAACUUUUUUGACUUUUUUGGGAGAAGGUAUAAUUAACUUUUUCAAGAAGUUGCCCCAAAACCUAAUUAAGAAAGAACUUUUGUGCAAUGGAAAUGUUUAGUGCGUUCACAACGUGGCAAAUUAGACCUAUGGGACCAGCUAUGAGCCUAUGACCUUAAAGUCACAGUGAAUGCAUUUCAAAUCAACAAUUUAAGUCUCUCUCUCUCUCUCUCUCUCUCUCUCUCUCUAGAUAAUGCAAGAGCUACAGCAUUAUAAUUUAUUUACUAAAUAAACGAUGUUUAAAAAAAUUAAAAUUUUAUUUCUAAAAACUUCAUAUACCCUAAAUCAUAUUUAACGGUAUAUAUAUAGAAUUAGGCUACUAUACUAUCUAUAGUAUCGGAGCUCCGGUAUUAUAGUCUUAUUUUCGAUUUUAGGGUGUUCAAAUUAACGAUCCACACUGUUAAAUAUGAUUUAGGGUAUAUGAAGUUCUUAGAAAUUUUAGUUUUUUUCGACAUCGUUUACUUAGUAAAUAAAAAUUGUCAAAAUGGACGGUAGAAAUUGAAUAAUCUUUAAAAUUUGAGUAUAGGACUUUUAAAUUCAAGAUCAAGAAUGUUAAUCUUAAUCUAAAUAGUUUAAAGUAUUUUCUAUCAAAAUUUGAAGAAAUUUAAAUUCUUCUACACCGUUAAACUUCAAACUCGUCAUAGUAGCCAUUGAAAAUUGAUAAUUUUGAAAUGAUUUGAUCAUAAAGCUAAUUAUGUCGAAAAAAUAUAAAAUUUUAUUUUUAAAAAUUUUAAAUACUCUAGAUCAGUUUUAACGGUGUGGAUCGCUGAUUUGAAUACCCUAAAAUAAAAAACGAGACUAUAGUAUCGGAACCCCGGUACUAUAGAUAGUAUAGGAGACUAGCUCUCUCUCUCUCUCUCUCUCUAUAUAUAUAUAUAUAUAACAAAAUAAUCCGUGACAUAUAUGAUUCGUACAUAUAUGAUUCGUAUCAUCCAAACGAUGGAUACCAAACUUUUUAUCCAAUUAAUAUUCCUCAUUGCCUAAGGUAACGUACUAUAUUGUGGAAAUUUGAUGUAUGGGAAUUUCUAUGACAACAAAAAAUUUCUCUUUAGUCUUAUAGCAAGUUAAUUAAAAGGUAAAAGUAAAUAGAUACUUAAAUUUUUAAUUUUAGCAAUCAAUUCUAAAUUUCAUCUAAGUAGUUCAAUAAGCUCUCUUCUAAAAUAAAUUUACUAAUUAUAUAGCCAUUUUGAUUGAUGUUGUAAAUAUAAUUCUAUUUAAGAUUUCAAAAAAUAUAUAUUUUUUCCUUCUAUGUUUGAUAGUUAAUAUUCAUGACAGUGCAAAAAUAGGUUACAACAAACUUCAAGUUAUAUUUCUUUUUUUUUUUUACAUGUUUGAAUACAAAAAAAAAUUUUGUUGUGUUUUAAAGCUAUUUUAUGCAAUACAUACAACUAAAAUAAUUAUGUGAUUAAUAAUUUUAAUUAAAGAAAAAAAUUUAUUGAACUAUUUAAUAAAAUCUCAACAGCUAACUACCAAAAUUAAAAAUUUAAAUGACUGUUUACAGAAAAGCUAAAGUUCAUGAGGCCUUUAUACAUUUUUUUUUCCUUAAUUAAAAGCGAUAGUUAUUUUCAAUUCAAAUCAAUAAUUAAAUCAUGAAAUUGAUCCUAAAAUAUAUAUAUAUAUAUAUAUAUAUAUAAAUAUAUAGAUAUACAUAAUAGAGAUGGUCCCAAUGCAUGGGAUUGUUUUAUUCACCGUUGAGACAAAUUUGAAAUUCGUGUUGUGCGAGCGAUGGAUACCAAUAUUUUUUUGAUCAUUAAUUAUUGCCUAAAUGAAAAGUACUUCAUUGCGAAAAUUUGUACAUAUAGUAUUGAAAAAAGUGUAGAUCGAACUCGCUAAUCAAAUUUUGUGCGUUUUUGUGUAUCCCGUGUGUUUUUUACACAUAAACGUCGUACCCACUAGGAUAUUUUGUUCAUUUUUGUGCAAAUUAUAGAAUAUUUUGUUCAUUUUUGUACAAAUUAGGUGCCUCAGUGAGUGUACAAAAGCUCAGGGGCAGUGUUUGAAUUGGAAAUGAUAAAUUGUACCUUUGCUCCUCAAACUACAAGACGCAAUAUUUUGGUCAUUAAAUUUUAAUUUAUUAUAACUUUUAUCUUAUAUUUUCAUUCUAUAAUAUAAUUUAAUUUAGUUCACUAUAUAUUGAUAUAUCGUCCCUAAGAAAAUAUUCUAAAUUUGUGAUUGGUAAUGCAUCAAAAAUUAAAAUGGCAUAACACUUCUACAUCAGCAAUGUAUCAGUAUUUAGUCAACUAAACUGGAUUGUAAAACUUGAUUGUAAUAAUUCUGAAAGUUUAUAACAAAAAUUAAAAUAAGUUAAAAUUUAUUGUGCAAAAUAUCGCCCUAGUCUCAAAGUUUGAGACUAUAUUUGUACUCAAUUUACCUAAUUGGAAACAAAAACAAAGGGCUUAGUUCAACAAAUGGCCUAGCUGAAUUAAGUUAUCGUACGACGAAUCUAAAAUUUUCUUCAUCUCCUUACUGCUACGAAAGAUCGCUGUAAACCACGCUAUACAUGCAUUUUUCACUAGUGUGAAAGGUGCCAAUUAACUAUUCUAUACAGCGGUGCUAAUUCAGUGCAUUUUUUUGUCAUUCAAAUUAUUUAAUGAAAAAGUUAUAGCCAUUGCUCGGAUGCUCAAAGGAUUAAUUGUCUUAUUUUUGCUUAAAUUAACUAAAAUCAAUGAAAUCAACUAAUAAGUGGUAAUGAUAUGUACAAUGUGAUACAUUACUUAGGGUCAAAAUAGGCUGUUUAUAUCAUUUUAUAUUAUAUAAAAGAUAUAAAGGAUGUAACUCUCAUUAGGGUUUUCAAUUUAAGCAAUAACAUGUCUACCCAUCUUAAUAUACCUCUUCACUUAGUUUUUUUAGCAAAACAAUUAAUCCAUUGCAUAACCACGAGCCCAUUGUUUUUUCCUAAUUUAAGUAGCUAUUUUUUAGUGGCUUGUUGCUUGAUCUAUAAUAAGUUCUAUAUAAUAAUCAUGUGAACCAUGUGGGAAACAUGGCUUCUUAAAUUCAUCAUAUUUUAGUUAGAGUUGUUAUGAUUCAUCGUUAUCGGAUAAAGUAUUAUGCUUGUGUCUAUCUUCUAUAGUACUAUAUUAAAGGAAAGUUAGGUCACAUCAGGGAACAAACAAACGAACGACACGUAUCCCUCCAUCUCUCCCUACUCUACUUCAACAAAAUUGCAUGCACACCGACCGUCCCUAAAGCAAGUGGCAAAGGAAUGGAUGGCUGGUACCAUAGUUAGUUAAUUCGGAUUCGACAAAAAUUCGGUAUGGGUAUAAUAUGCAUAAAAUUCGUUUUCUAAUUUUUAAAUUCGUUGAAAAAUUCGGCUUAAAACAUAGAUUCGGUAUAAAAUAUAAAAUAUAAGAUAUAAAAUAUAAGAUAAUCUAUAUUUAAAUAUAAAAAUUAUAUGUUUUUAUUCAUAUUUUCAAUAAUUCGGAAAUAAUUCGCGAGUAAUUCGCGAAUUGUUCGGCUGGCCAAAAAAUUCGCGAAUAUUUCUCUAUCUUUGGAAAAAAUUCGUAAACGGACCGUUUAAUUCGGAUUUUUAAUAAUUCGCGAAUAAUUCGCGGAUUAACUAACAUAGGUUGGUACCCGAGACCCAAAUUCGAAUUCUAGUUGAUUCACAUUUCCAGCUAAGUUUAUUUCUAAAUGAAAUAAACGAAACAGUAGCGCACUAUUUAUCUCUCUAAAAAAAAAAAAAAAUUACAUGCGCACCGGAUCUAUUAAAAUAUCAAAUGCACCAAAUCUUUUUUAUACACCUGAAAUAGUAUUCUCCCCUUUAUUGUGGGUAAAGAUAUACAUAUAUCCCGCAACUAUAAUUUUUUUCAAGUGAGAUCCACUCAAAUUAUAAUUACUUUUUUAAUUUUAAUUUUUAUACUUAGUUCAAUUAAAUUACCAAAGAUAAUUAAAAUUAUUGAAUAGGAUGAAAUUACUAAUGAAUUAAUUAAAGUGACCAUUGAUGAUUGAAAUUAUUAAAUUUGACAAAAUUACUAAUUAAUUUGAUAAAAUUACUGAAACACAAAAACUAAAAGUUUAGAAAAUCUCUAUACAUUUUCACUAAAAAGAAAAUUGACAAAAAAUUUGNAAUGGACCCCUGAAAUUUAUUUAUUUUUAAUUAGGUUUUUGUAAUUUUUGAAUUUCUAUGAAUUAAUUUUAAUUAACUAAACAAAAUGAGUCUCUAAGAAGUUGUAACUUAGUCUCAAAUAAUUUAAAUAGGAUGGAUAACUUAGUCUCAAACUGUAUAAUUUAUUCCUUUUUUUUUUCCCUACUAUUUGACUUUUACUGCAACGACGGCCACAACGCAUUAUGGUCUUCUCAUGAAAAGAAAAUUAUAUAUAUAUAUAUAUAUAUAUAUAUAUAUAUAUAUAUAUAUUGUGAAGCAUCCUUUUCUGCUAUCAUGCCCCUGCUUCGCCUCUGUCGCUGGCACCGCCCUCGCCCUAACGCGCUCUCCCUCUCUAUCAUUCCCAAAUGUUGCGGCAUACUCGUCACCGUAACCGUCACCAGCAUUGGUGAAGGUAUUAACAAGGUAGGAGAAAGUUGUGCAGCACCGUCGUGGGGCCGGUAGAGAAGGAGGGAGAGGAAACAGAGAAAAAAAGAAAAAGGGAGGAAGAAAAGACGAGGAUGAGGGAGAAAAACAAAUAAGAAUAAAAAAAAAUUAGAAAAAGAAUUAAAGAUAUUUUAAUCAGUAUACUAAAAAUUCAAAUCUACUUUGUAAAGUAUAAAAAAUAAUUUAUUUUUACAAAAAAUCUAAAAUUAGUGAAUUUUGCUAAUUUCCACUCCCUCAGUACUUAAUCCUACUUUAUUUUUUGAAAACCUUCAAAUACCACCUCCGUGGUUUUGCCUCUUUUUAUUUUAGUACCAUAUAGUUUAAAUGUAUCAGUUGAGUACUCCGUAGUUUUAUUUUUCUCUUUUUAUUAUUACAUUCACUAAUUUUUUUCGUUAAAUCAGCAACAAAGUUAAAACUAAAAGGUGCUAAAGUAAUAUUCGAUAAACAUAGAUAGGGUAUCUGAAGUUUUUGCUAUAUAAUUUAACGAAAUGUUAAUGGAGGAGUUGGCUAAAAGGAAAAAAUAAAACGACAGAAUAAUAAAUUAAUACAUUUUAAAUUAUAAAGUACUACAAUAGAAAACUACAAAACUACAGGGGCGUAUUUGAAAUUUACCCUUUAUUUUUCGUGUAAUUUACUCUUGGUAGCAAGCACGUGACACACACGGCGAAUUGCCAUCAAAUGGGGACGCGCCACGUGGCCAGCAAAAGGCGGCGCGUGGAGGUCACCGUCCGUUGAAAUCGCGACGUUCUCCGUUGACCCGUGCUAUAAUGAGGACACAGGAAAGUAGUGAUAGUGACAAAUACGGUGUGGCCACGUGUCAAACACGGCGUUCUUUAAUUCAAGGACUAAACGGUCAACUUUCUCCCACGUGGGAAGAAACGGAUAAUUCGACCUCAUUACUAACCUAAUCCUCGCUAAUUAAAAUCCAACCUAAUCCUAUUAAUUAGCUUUAGAGCUAGUUUAGCUUAAUUUGGUUGUGGAUAUAUAUAUAUAUAUAUAUAUAUAUAUAUAUAUAUAUAUAUUUGGUAAAAUUCAAAUACUAUCGCUGUGAUUUCACACUUUCUCACUUUAGUACCUUGUGUUUUAAAGUGUAUUAAGUUUGUAUCCUAUGGUUUCAUUAUUAUCUUUUCGUCAGCUUCUCCGUUAAUAUUUCGUUAAAUUACAUACUAAAAUUUCAGAUACCCACCUAAGUUUAUCGAAUAUGUACUUUAGCGCCCUUUAGUUUUUAAUUUUGUCACUGAUUUAAUAAAAAAAUUAAUAAAAUCGAUAAUAAAAAGAUAAAAAUAAAACCACGAGGCACUAAAUUAAUAUACUUUAAACCACAGGAUAUUAAAGUAAGAAAAUAUGAAACCACAAGGGUGGUACUUGAAGUUUUUUUUUUUUUAUAAUUAAAGCCUAUUUUGGCUCUCAACUUCUGCUUCUAUUUUUAGCAGCAACAAUUUCUACGAAAGUGUUUGUUAAGGGCAAAAAAAAAAGAAAUUUUUUGUCAUUUUAGGUACAACAAAAAGGUGAUCAUACGAAACUUACAUGUUGAGUUUUAGAAACAGUAGCUCUAACAUAUUAUUAUUUCUCAUUCUAUUAGCUAGGAAAAAAUAAAACUAUUUGAAAAAUUAGUAAUUAAAAACAUAUAUGCAGUAAUUCCAACUCACAAGCAAAAUUAUUACGCCAUAAACUCUGAUCAUAAAAUAAUAUCGAUCAUAACGUAUAAACUAUGAAGCGCACAUCAGGUAUUUCUCAACUAAACAGUAAACAAAUUUUCGAAUGUGAUAGUCAAAUAUUCUUUAUUGAAUAUAUUAUUGUUGAAAACAGAAGCGGAACCGAAGAAUCAAAGAAGCGACUGAGGUUGAUUUGUUGAGAACACACUAAAUUCCAAACGCGAGUGAUCCAUGCGUGAGGAGGCAUAUUAGAAAAUCGAGGAACACGACGAGAUACUGAAAGUGGGUGGUUCAUUUAUUCUCUUGUGCCGAUUUAGUUGAAAAGUCUGCUAAAAUCUUUACUUUCUUUCUCUUUCUACUUUUCGGCGGCUCCGGGUAGUUGGAAUUAUACUUCUCCACCUUCUUCUUUUUCUCUUUUUAAUUUGUCACAAUACACCGACCGCCCGUGGCUAAAGCAAGUGGUAAAAAAUUUGAUGGUUGGUAGUUGGUUCAGUGGGUAGUUGGUUGAAUUGUAUGAUCUAAAAGGUGAAGAUGAUCAAAGACGUAUAUAAAAAAUUACAAGCACAAAAUACUUGGUGCUUUUACAAGCACCAUAGCCGGACUCUCUCUCUCUCUCUCUCUCUAUAUAUAUAUAUAACCGGACUCUCUCUCUCUCACUCUCUCUCUCUCUCUAUAUAUAUAUAUAGAGAGAGAGGCUAGUAUACUAUCGGUAAUACGGAGGCCUUCGUACUACCAAAUUAUUUUCAAUAAUGCGGCUUUCAAAUCGACGAUCGGUUCUGUUAAACUUGAUAUACACUAUUAAAAGUAUUUGGAAACUAAAUUUUAUAAUUUUUCGACAUUAUUUGGCUAAUGAUCAAAAGGUCUCAAAAUUGACAAUUUUAAUGGUUGAUGUGAUGCGUUUGUGAUUUAACGUUGUAAAACAAUUCAAAUCUUAUGAAAUUUUUAUAAAAACUUCUUUUCACUAUUUAGAGUAAGAUCAGUACAUUUGAUUUUAAAUUUAAAUUUAUUAUCAUUAUUUUUUAUGAGAUUUUUAUUUUCAGCUGUUCAUUUUUAAACUAUUCAUUUUAUAGGUAAAUAAAUAAUGUCGAAAAAUUAUGAAAUUUAGUUUUCAAAUAAUUUCAAUAGUGUAGAUCAAGUCUAACGGAGCUGAUCGUCUGCUCUCUCUCUCUCUCUCUCUCUCUCUCUCUCUCUCUCUCUCUCUCUCUAUAUAUAUAUAUAUAUAUAAAUCUAUACUAUAUAUAAAAGUGUAUAGAAAUGAUAGUCGGAAUUAAAAAAGAAUAAAAAAUAUUUCCUAUGAACUGUUAUGAUCAAUUUAUUAAAAAAUAUCUUAAAUAAGAACGAAUGGUUAUGAUCAAUUCAUUAAAAAAAAACAUUCAUAACCAUCUAUAACUUCAAUUCUACGAACAGGCAUAAUUAUUUUGUUAAAAAUAUUUAAAAUAUAAAUGAACGUUUAUGAUCAAUAUGUUAAAAAAUAGCAUUUCUAUUCAUCUAUUUUAUAUUAAAAUUUAAAUUUGAGUUUAAAACACGAAUUAAAUUUAUUUUUUGAUAUCAAAUUUGAAUUAACAAUUAAAAUUUUUUAAUUAUAUAAUAGAUCAAAAUUAAAGUUUACAUUUUGAAAUAAAUGUCAAUUUAAUUUUGAUGCUUUUAGUUUAAAACACAUAUUUAUAUUUUAGAUUUAUUAGAAAUCGAAAAAUAUAUAAAAUUUUUUAAUAUAUAUAUAUAAAAAGAAUAAUAUAGAAUAUUACAAAUAUUUUCUAGUAAAAUAUAAUACAUAAAUUUAUAAAUUAUAAUUUUUACUGUGAAUUUUUAAAUAAAUAUAAUGUACAAAUUCAUAUUGAUUUAAAGUAAAUUGAAAUAAUCGUUACGUGCAGUUACACGUACACUAAACUAAACUAGUAUAUAUAUACAUACAUGUACAUAUUAAUGUAGAGUCACAUCACACUAACGAAUUAGUUCCUUGAAAAGGUGUUGAUAAAAAGUAUUUAAUUUCACAAUUUUUAAUAUUCAGAUAAAAAUUAAAAUAAUAGAAAUAUUAUUUCUUUUAUAAAUUUUCUUAGAAAAGAUUAAAACAUAUUUCUACCGAAAUUAAAGAGAUGAAAAAUAUAUAUAUUCUGGUCACGAAACUAUUUUUUAAUGAUAAAAGCAUAUAAAACUUACCCAAACUUAAUUGAGACCAUUUUGAGUUGUCAACAGCAUUUUGACCGCAAAAUUUAUAUGUGUCAUUUAGUAUUACAGGGUUAGCUGAUAUACUUUAUAUAAUUCUCACAACUAUAUAUUUAAUAAAGUAAGUGAUUAUCUUACUUUAUUUAAAAAAGUAAGUAAUUUUCAAAGGGGCAAUUGCUUAUAUUUUUCUGAAAUGUUUCUGACUUUCUUAUUUACCAUUCUUAGAACGGUAAUAGUAUGUCCCUAGAGUUAAAUUAUAUUAGUGAAUUAGUAGGAAUAUACCCUUCCACCGUUACCAGCUUUUCUUAUUUGCCUUUAAUCUAUGGGCAAAAUUGGUAUUCUUACUUUUAUUUUAACUAUGAUAGAAAUUUAAUUCAGAUUUAAUCCGAAAUUAUUUGAUGGACACUAACAGUAAAUAUAUUUUUGAAUAACGGAGAAAUAUGUGAAGAGUAUAUUUGAAAUAAAAAAUAAUAAUAAUAAAUAAGAUAUUUCAGAAGUUUUGAGAAAUAUAUACAUAACUUUUUUUUUUUUUUUUUAAUCAGACAUAAAAUGUGCUUGAAUGAAUCCAUGACCCAUGAUGAGCGCAGGUUCAAUGUUAGAAAAGCCCAAAUAAAGAAGGGCCACAUGCAUGUUGGGUACAUGCAUGAAUGCACAUACAGGACAUGACACAUUGUCGUGUAGUUUGCAGUUAAAGUGGAAUUCCCAUCCCGAAACACACGGAAAUCCCAUGUCUAAUAAAAGAAGAGACAAAUUGUGCAUGCACUUUGUUAAUUGCAUCAAUUUUCGUGGUCCCGUUCCGAAUAUAAAUUAAAAUUUCGACAUGAAUAUAACGUGACAGGUCAUUUUAUCUAACAAUUUAAGCUUUUAGUUAUUACAUCGUAUUAAGGUUCGGUUCACACUUCUGUCCUAGUUCAAUGCCUUUGAUCGAGUCCGUCCUGUGUCCGUCUUGUCCAAUUAUCACUAAAAAUCAUUCAGUUCUUACUCUUUUGCUCAUUUCUUUUCUAUCGGUCAAAAAGAAGCUACGACAAUUUGAAGUUUAUAAUUAUGCUUCUUAUUUUCAGAUAGUGUUAUUAGAAUAGAUAAAACUCUAGCGGGGAGUGUUGAAAUUUUAUUAGAAAUUAAGAUCGUACAUUCUGUCAUAAUUGUGAUUUCUAUACCUGAUUUGUAGGCGCGAAUAUUUACUCGUGGUUCGUUCUCGUUCGUGAUCUAUAAGAAAACGAAACAUUUCGAGUCUAAUUCUCUUAUCUCCGAAAAUGGAGCCGUCACGAAAAGUUGGAUUAGGGUUAGACCGUAACUCCCAUAUGUUACAUAUUUGUAUAUAACUUAAUAUAAGAACGUUAAAUCAUCUCCGUCCAUCAAGGAUAUGUCUAGAUACAUCCUAACCGAUAGACCUAUUAUAUCUUUAUAGAUUGACUUGAAUAAACCGACUUUAUUUUUAUAGAUCGCUUUGAAUAAAUCACGUGAGCCACAUCCAAUAGGGAGUUCGUCGAGGAGCUAUUCAUCACGUGUUAGUUUUAUUAUCAUCUAAAAUUUUUUUUAGACAUUUUUAACAAUAAAAUCUAAAACAAAAUUAUAAUUCAAGAAAGAAGAAUUAUAAUCUUUAAACAGAGAAAAAACUGAAUAUAUGACAGUGGAUCAGGGCUCCUCAAUGAGUCGUCGUCAGGGAGCUCCCUACUAAAAGUUUUAUUUUAUUAAAAUUAUGUUGUUUUUGAGUGAUUUCACGCUGUAAUAUGUAAGAUAUAUUUACCAUCACACUCUUCCACAGUAUGAAACAUUUUUUUUUCAUAAUUUUAAUCAGAGCUUUAAUUUAGAUGUUUCAACUUAAAGUUUAAAUUUUUGGAUUGGGCACGAAUCCUUUAACACCUACAAUAUUAGAGGUUUUAAAUCAGCAUUUCAUUCAUCAAAUACAUUUUCAAUAAUAUUAAAAAAAAUAAACUAUAUAUCAACAAAAUUCAUAAAUUUGAAAUAUAAAGUACAGAAUAAUUGCUCCCCGUGAUUUAUGUACCUAAUUAAUGUCUGCGCAGUAAUAUUUCAGAACUCAUGAUUUUUAAUAUACAUAUAUCAUUCGAAUAUUGUAGAUCAUACUAAUCUUCUUUAGUUUUAAUUUUAUUGGACGAAUAAUUAAAAAUUAAUAACCGUGUACGAGAAAUAGUCAUAAACCAGGUGCAGGCAAUAAGUUUUUGCAUAAACACUGUUCAUGUGUCGGCGCUUAAACUAUAUGAUAAUGAUAAGCCAAAAAGGUCAAAGGACAUGAGAUAGGUGGUGACGUACGUAUUAAUAUAACUAUAAAUAUAAAUAUAGAGUGAGGCUACUAUGCUAUCGGAAGCACGGAGCCUUCCGUGCUUCCAGCUCGUUUUCAAUAUUGCGACUUUCGAAUCGUCGAUCGGCUCCGUUAAAUUUGAUAUAGAGUAUUUGGAGUACCUAGAAAAUAAAUUUUAUUAUUUUUCGAUAUCAUUUUCUUAGUGAUCGAAUGGGCUCAAAAUUAAUAAAUUUCAAUGGCCGUAGUGAGCCGUUUGCAAGUUUAACUGUGUAGAAAUAUCCAAAUCACGUGAAAUUUUGAUAGAAAAUUCUUUAUACUAUAUAAAAUAAGAUUAAUAUCUUUGAUUUAAAAUUUUAAUGUCAUAUUAUUAUAUUUUGUAAGAUUUUUAUUUUCAGCCGUUGAUUUUGAGCCCUUUCGUUUACUAGGCAAAUGAUAUCGUAAAAUAAUAAAAUUUAUUUUCUAGGUACUCCAAAUACUCUAGAUCAAGUUUAACGGAGCCGAUCGACGAUUCGACAGUCGCAACAUCGAAAACGAGCUGGAAGCACGGAAGGCUCCGUGCUUCCAAUAGCAUAGUAGCCUCACUCUAUAAAUAUAAAUAUAAAUAUAUACUGAUACAUCAUACAUAUAUAUAUAUAUAUAUAUAUUAGCGGCUAAUAUCUACGUACUUAAUUACAAUUCAACAUGUCAAAAAUGUUUAAUAUAUACAGGGGAUUUAAUUAGCAACAGAGUUCUCGCGUUUCACAAUUCACAAAGAAAAAAGAAUGUAUAGAAUUUAUAUAACUGAUAAAGAAAAAAGCAUUAAAAUUGGAAAAAAAAAUGUAUAGAAUUUAUUUGAAUUAUAAGUUAUUUUGAUUUGAAUAUUCAAUCUUUUAAAAUUUUGAUCGUAAUAAUUAUUAUUUUUUUUAAUUUGUUUUGAUUUACAUCAUUUAAUGACUUUGCAGGUACAAAAUUUAAGUGAAUUGUUUGUUUUAAUAAACUUGUAGUUACAUGAAUAAAAUAAAAUGUGCUGAUUGAAUCUGUGAAGAUAAAGGACGUAUUUUAAAUUUUAAAAUUAAAGAGUCAUUAACUGGCUCAAAUCAAAUUAAAUCGGAAUGUUAUGCGGCAUAAAUAAAAAUUUUAAAAAAUUAAAUUGUUAGAUUAAAAUGGAUAAUAGUUGAGAUAAGUUCUAUAUAUUUUUACCUUAAUAUCAGAAGUUUAAUUAACCCGGAGAAAUGCAGUGUUAGGAAAUAGAUUACAUAUUUUCUAUAUAUUAAUGAAGUUUUCGUAUAUAAUUUAUCGGAUAUUACUGUAUUCAUUAAUUUCCUUCCCACCUAAAUAUUUUGCUUUUGAUAAAAAAUUUUAGAUGUUAAUCGAAUGAUUUGUACUUUGAUUUUAGAAUAAUUUAAGUAAUGGAUAUCUGUAUUUACCAAAUUUUGCAUUUGUAAUUAUACUAAAUUUAUUAAAUUAUAAAAAACAACUGUACAACUUCAAAACUUAAACUACAUAGAACGGUAUUUUUAUUAUUUAUAUUUAACACUAAUGUGGGCUGAUAUUAAAUGGAAGAAAAUAAAAUAAUAUUAGGAGUUUGGUAACACUUGAACACAGGAUAUAUCUUUUGCGCGAAUACUAUGUGGAAAUAUACAAAAGAACUGUAUAUCUCCAAAAGGUCGAAAGUUCGAAACUCUGUAUCUUCUUUUAGUGAAGAGGUGAUUUGACCCAUAACUUUGGGUUGGAGUUUUGGACGUCAAUGGAUACGGAUACCCGAAAUUUUAUCCGAACCUGAACCCGAAUGGAGCAGAUAUAUUUAAUGCUAAAUGGAUAUGGAGAUCAAAAAUAAAAACCUGACGGAUAUAGAUUCGAAUAUAGAUUUUGACUGUACCCGAACCCGACCCGAACCGGACGAAUAUGAAUUCGGAUAUGGAUUUUGACUGUUCCCGACCCGAACCCGGAAUUUUAGGUAGUGAAUAUAAUUUUCUAUCAAAAAUUCAACCUAUUCCGAUUCUUUUACACAGUUAAACUAACAAAUAUUCCAUACCGGGCGUUAAAAAUUGUCAAUUUUGUGAGUUUUUGAUUGUAACGUAAAUGAUAUCAAAAAAUUAUAAAAUUUGAUUUUUAUAAGUUUUAAAUGUUUUAGAUAACGUUUAACGGUAUGGAUCGUCGAUUCGGAAGCUCUAUCGUCGAAAACGACUUAUGAGUACGAGGGCGAUCAUACUCAUAAGAGUAUAGUAGUCGGACUAUAUAUAUAUAUAUAUAUAUAUAUAUAUAUAUAUAUAUAAUUGAGCUCUUAUGCUUUUAAAAGUACCAAGUCAUUGGUGCUUGUAAGUUUUCGACCUUUGGAUUAAUAGAUGUGCGGUUAGGAUGAUAUGGGUCCCCUAGGGUUGAGUGAGUGGUUGGUUGAAUAGUAUAAUCUAACAGAUGAAAAUGAUCAAAUGCAUAGAUCUAAUGGUAGAAAAUUUACAAGCACCAAAUGCUUGGUGCUUUUACAAGCACCGUAGCCGGACUCAUAUAGAAUUGAGCUCCUAUGCUUUUAAAAGUACCAAGUCAUUGGUGCUUGUAACUUUUUAGCCCUUGAAUUAAGAAAUGUGCGGUUAAGUUGAUGUGGGCUCCCUAGGGUUAAGUGGGUGGUUUGUUGAAUAGUAUAAUCUAACGGGUGAAAAUGAUCAAAGGCGUAGAUCUAACGGUAAAAAAUUUACAAGCACCAUAGCCGGACUCUCUCUCUCUCUCUCUCUCUCUGUAUAUAUAUAUAUAUAUAUAUAUAUAUAUAUAUAUAUAAAAUUUGAUAUUAUAUUUAAAUUUGUAUUUUAAAAAUUUAGAUUUGAUGUAAUAAGGGAUAAUUUCAUAGAUGCCCUUCUGGGGACUUUUAAUUUCAUCAAUACCCUUCUAAAAUUGAUAAUAUCAUGAAUACUCUCCAAUAUAUAAAAAAUUUUCAUACAUACCCUCCACUAGUUAAAGUCCGUUAGAAAUGGGAUUAAAUUUUCAAAAUGCCAUUUUUACCCUUUAUCUCUUAUCAAUAGUAAAAUUACUAAUAGGUAUUUUAAGACAAUUUUAAUAAAUAUAAAUUUAACUAAUUUAAUAUACUAAAUAUAAAACUAAAUUAUUAAUAUAUACAUUAAUUAUUAAAAAUAUAUAAAAAAUGUAUUUUAUAUAUAAUAUGUUUUUAUAUAAUUUUGGUUUUGUUUUUGGUUUCGGAUUUCGGCUCAAGUUUAGUUUGGAUAUAGACUAAAACAAUAACUGAAUUUGAAUAUAAUGAGACUUUUUUUUUUGCUUCUAUAACUGAAACUAUCCCUGCUCAGCAUCAAUUAAGAUCACCCAUUCAAAAUUGGGUUCAUAUAUAUCUAUAUCAAUUCACAUUCCUAAUCAGUAAUAGUAAAUUUAAAAUAAAUGAUAGAUUUAUUUUUUUUAUUUAAUCAAAAAUAAAUUAUAUAACUAUAUGCAUGCAUUUUUUCGUCGAUUGAAAAAAAAGAGAGAGUUUUGUUCAAAAGCUAAAAUAUAUAAUAUUUCAGUUUUUUAAUGCAUUUAAUAUAGAUAAAAUUAUCGUGAAUAAUUUUGGUUAAAAAAUUUUGCAAGUUUCCAAGAUUAAACAAAGAUAAAAAAAAAUCCUCAACUUUUAUUUUUAUUUAAAUUUUUAUACAUAGUUAUUUAUUUGCUAAAAUAUAAAUAGAGCCACUAGAUUUUGUUAAAUCAUAAAAAAAAUGGACAAAAUCUCAUUUUCCGUGCACUAAAAUUAGUUAAUUUUUUAAAAAAUUAAAAAUUAAUGGGAUGUCAACUAAAAUAUAAAAGUUGAGGGAGUUGUUUUAAAAUGACAUAUAGCUGAGGGAUCUCCAUGCAUUUUUACUUAUAGGAGUUGAGGGUAAACUAGUCAUAUUAAAAGUUAACCCAUCUUUAACCAUUCAAUAACUAUGGUAAAGUUAGAAUAACUAACAGUAGGGGUAUUGAUGUUAUUUUUUGAUGUUUUCAGGGGUAUGUAUGAUAUUUUAAAUUUUAGAAGGGUAUAUAUGAUAUUUUAAAGUUUAGAAGGGGCAUCUAUGAAAUUGCCCCUAUAUUUUAAAAUAUUGAAAAAAAAAUAAUUGUUUCGGAUUAAUUUGAACUUUCGGGUUCGGGUUCGGAUUUCGAAUUUUUGGUUGGGUUCGGAUUCAGGUUUUUGAAAAUUCGCCCCGAAUCCGACCAUUGACUUCUCUAGUUGGAGUGACUCCAGGAGUGUGAAAAAGAGAAAAAAAAUUUCUAAAAAAGUUACUAAAUAAGAUUGGGAACUUCAAGUUAUUUUUUCUAUUCCAAUUAGGAUUUAAAUUUCAAAAUAGAAAUUGCCACUUCUACCUAGAUUGGACUUUGCAUACCCUAACUUUAGUUUUUUACUUUAGAUGCAAUGGCUUCUAGAAGUUUUUUUUCAAAAAAAAAAAAAAAAACUCCCCCUUGAUGUUGUACACCUGAAAUUAUAGCAAGUUCAGCUUAUAUUUCUAAUUUUGUUAAAAUCCAAUAUAACAAUUAAUUCUUUUAAUAAUAAUAGGUACUUACUAUUUAAAAAUAGCAUCUCACGAAAUAUAUUUUUUUAAUAAUAUUGUGCAGACAAUAUUUUACUGAACAACAUUAUGACCGAAUUUAGUAUCAUUACUGUUUGUUUUUUUAUAUUUGUUUUCAAACACUAAUUCUAUAUAAUUUAAAGUGUGGGAGAAAAUAUUUCUUUUUUAUUGUGUUAUAAUUGGUUCCGUUGUAAUGUAUUUGGCUAAGUAACACAUGUCAGCUCAUUUAAAAGUAACACAUGUAUUUGCCAAAUAAAUAUUUUCUAAUAUUUAUUUAAUUAUAUGCCAAGAGUAAAAAUUGAUAUCUACUAAUGGGCCUAAACUCAAUAGGCUUAAAUUUUUAAAUUGAAACGAGUUUCAUUAUGUAUAUAGAGAGAGAGAGAGAGAGAAAGAAAGAGAGAGCUGCUAUACUCUGAUAAGUAUAGACCAUUUUGUACUUAUAAAUUUUCGGUUGUUGAAUAAACAGAUGUGCGGUUAGGAUGAUAAUGGUUUUCGGUUAGAAAGAUAGUUGUCCCCUAGGGUUGAGUAGGUGGUUAAUUGUAUAGUGUGAUCUAAUUAUGUGAAAAUGAUUAAAGGGGUAGAUCUAAUGACUGAAAACUUAUGAAUGCAAAAGAAUCUAUAGAGACAGAACUGAUCCCCUAACACAGAUAUUAUAUAAGCAUUCUACAUGCAUCGAGACUUUGUUAGUUAGAAAGAACCUAAUUUAGAAUUGAAUGUGCCGAUCGAAAAGCAAAUGCGCCUGCUUUCGCUCUUCUUUUUUCUGUCACCGUCGCUGAAGAAGCACGCAGCAUUACAGCUUUAGUCAUAGCCCCACCAUUCUCUCACUGGAAGAAUCGAAAAAUCUUUCUUUCUGCACAGUCCAUGCAUGCACCAUUCUGGUAUUAGCAUAUAAUAAUAGUUCAAAUGGAAGCUCCAUGAUAAUCACAAAAAGGAGAAGUUGCAGGAGUCAAUGAGAAAAGAUUGUGUAAGAAAAUUGGUGUGGAAAGAGUACUAGUCAAGGUCUAUUCCGGGUCAAAGCAGGAGAGUGGAGAUUCACACGGCUCCAUAUCCAUUUAAAUACCAAAUUAUUAAAUUAAUUUCAUUUGUCUAAGCUUCGCCCACGUGGUCAAAUGCAGUGCAUCUCUCUCUCUCUCUCUCUCUAUAGAGCGUGGACCUCUUGUAUAUAUAUUUUUAGAAGAACGAUGAUUUCGUGUUAUUAAGUCAUUUUCGAUAUUGGGACAUUCGAAUCAACGAUUAGUUCUGUGAGAUUUGAUCUAAAAUAUUUAAAAUAAUUAGAAAAUAAAUUUUGUAAAUUUUUAAUAUCAUCUACUUACUUAUCGAAUAGUUCCAAAAUCAAUAAUAUUAAUAGUCAUGUUGAGCUGUUUGAAAGUUUAAAGGUGUAGAAAUAUUAAAAUUAUAUAAAAUUUUAAUAAAUUUUUUUUAUACUAUAUAAAAUAAAAAGUAAGAUUAAUAUUUUUGUUCCAAAAAUUUUAGUGUCGUAUCAUAGUUUUUUUAAUAUUUUUAUUUUCAGCCUUUAAUUUUGAGCUCUUUUGGUUACCCGCUAUAUAACAUAAAAAAAUAACGAAACUUAUUUUCUAAUUAUUUUAAGAUCGUUGAUUCGGAAGUACCAAUAUCGAAAAUAACUUAAUAUUGAUGUCACAAUAUAUAUAUACAUGCGCGCGCUAAACCUCACACAUUCGUGCAUGGGUUUUAGCUCGUUCUUAAUUGUUCUAAUUUUCUUCUUUAUUUAAAAUUUAAAAUUUUGAAAUCUCUCACGACGUAGACGGUCUGCUGGUAGGUUGAGAUGAGUCUAAAAAGCUGCCAAAAUGAGGGAGAGAAAACGAAUUUUGAGGGAAAGAAAACGAAUUUUAAGUCCACAACGUAACUGAUUGAAUAGAAUUUAGAAUUCUAACCUAUAUAUAAUGUGUUACAAAUGUGUAUAAUUUAUGGGCACUCUAAGUCACUUUGAAUCGGCUAUUCAAUAUGUUGGAAACCAUAUGGAUCGCCUUACGUCACGGAACGAAUCGCCUUACGUCACGGAUGCCAAUCGGAGAGGGCUACCAGAGUCCUCUCCUAUGUCCACGCUCUAAAACCCCCGGAAACGUAGGUGGAAAUCCCAGAGAGGAAGAAGAGAGAAGAAGGAAGAUUUUUGUGGAUUCUCGAAUUAGAUCGUAUUCUUUUUCCUCAUUCCUACGGGAGAAAACGGGGGCGUAUAUAUAGAAUAACGGAACCCCUAAAUAUCCUGAAUCUCAUUAGGAUUAGGAUUGGGAUAUUUAUUAACAUAUAAUAAAUAUCCAUUAUAAGAUAUGUUUCUUAACUGAUAAGAAACAUAUAAUUUAUACUUAUCCUAAACUUAUUAGGAUAAAUCAUGAUCCACAUCUUAUGUGGAUCGGGUUUAAUCAUAACCUGCCAAUGUGGACAAACCAUAUGGCAACACAAUCUUUUAAAAUUUUAAUUUUAUAAUCUAACAUUUCAAUUUAGUUAAUUUGAGUCGGUAAAUGAUACUUUUGGCCAUAAAAUUUAAGCUAAGUAUCUAUUAUAAUAAAUUUAUAGUUUUAAAAAUUGUAUGAAUUAAACCUCUAAAAAUAACUUAUGCAUACAAAUUUUGAAGUCAAAGUACCGUCAAUUGACUCAAAUCAAGCAAAAUUGAAUGCUGGAUAGUAAAAUUAAAAUUUUGAAAUGUUAGAUAGAUAAAUCCAUAUUGUUCAUAGUUCACAUAAGUUUCAUACGUUUUUACCUAUUAUUUUAUCUCUUUUGAUUUAAGAUUAGUAGGAUUCUCUUGCUUUUCAGUUGUGUAAUUGUAUUAUUUAAGGAGCGUAAUUUCUAUCGAAAAAAAAAAAAAAAACCAUUAGGUGGAGUAUGAUUAUUAUACUAUUAUAAGUACGAAGAUUUUUAUAUUCAUAAGUCAUUUUCGAUAAUUGAGCUUUUAAAUCGAUGAUUCAUAUUGUUAAAUAUGAUUUACAGCAUUUGAAGUAUUUAAAAAUUAAAUUUCGUAAUUUUUGAGUUCAUAAUAAAAUCUAUCAGGUGGAUAUAAAAUGAAUAAUCACAAUCGAACGAUCUACAUAUAGAAUCUUUAAUUCAACAUUGAUUUACACAGCGAAUAGGAUUUUCUAUCAAAAUUCAACCGAUUUCGAUUGUUUUACAUCAUUAACUAGGAUAUGCUUCAUAUUGAUCGCUAAAAAUGUCAAUUUUUGGGCCUUUUAGUCGUUAGGUUAAUAAUGUCGAAACUUUAUAAAAUUUUAUUUUUAAAAUAUUUAAAUAUUGUAAAUUAUGUUUAAUGAUAUGUAAGGCUUAGUUUGGAAUUGCAGAAAGAUUGCAUUAUGUGCGGUGAGAAAUGACGAAGGAAAAAUUACCCUGUUUGUUUUCGUGCGCAAUAUUGCAUUUCGCAUACUGCGGUUAGUCAAUUACUAUAUAUUUUUUGCGGUCCCAUCGGAGAACGCAGAAGCAUAUCCCUAUAUACUGCUUCUCAACUCCAUUCUAUCUAAUAGCGUUAGAUUGACCUCAAUACCAAACAAAGCCUAACUCUAUCACCAAAAACGACUUCCAAUAGAAAGGGAUCAUACUCAUAAAAGUACAAUAAUUGAGCUCCUAUUAAAUGUUCGGCUAUAAUUAUGGGACGAAGGACAUAUCUCGCAUAGUUUACUACUGAUGUUGUAAAUCAUAUCUAAGCGAUAAUUUCUACAUACAAAAGUGUUGAUUGCCGGGGGACAAACCGGAUUACAACUCAAGUUCAACUCGAGCUCACCUUAGCUCCGGCCUAAUCAAAAUAUCCCGACCCAACUAAUUUGGGCCUGAGCCCAACCAGAACAACAUUAGGGUUUUGGACUAUGUUUUGGGCCCAAUCAAAUAAGUAAAGCCCGGCCCAAAAUUACUUGGGCUUUGUGAGAAAAUUUGGACGACGAAUUUGAUGAUCUCAUCGUAAGAAUAAUUUCUCCCCGUAAAAAAACUUUUAUUUGAAAUGUCGAAGCCGAAUUUAAAUGGGCCUACGUGGGCUUUUUCAAACAAUUUUAGUACUUUUUUUUUUUCUGAAUGGGGCAGGGUCUGUGAUACCCUUGAUUUAGAGCCCAACGGGUUAUUAGUGCUAGUAGGUUGGACCGCUGGAGCAUUAUAGUGUCGCUACCAAGUUUUGACCCUAGUUAGUUAAUUCAGAUUCAGCAAAAAUUUGGUACGGGUAUAAUACGAAUAAAAUUUGUAUCCUAAUUUUUAAAUUCGUUAAAAAAUACAGGCCUAAAAAGUAGUUUCGCCAAUGAUUCGGAUAUGUUGUUUAUGCGAAAAUUAUACGUUUAUCAAUUAAAAAUUCGAGAUAAAAAAUUCGGCUAUUAAAUUAAAUUUUUUUUUAGAUUUAAACUACCACCAUAAAUAGUUAUAAUUUUAAGAAUAUAAAAAUAAAGAGCUACAAAAUAAAGUAGAUUACGGAAAAAAAUAAUAGCAAACUUUAUUAUACACUACGAAAUAUAAAUAAUCAAGUAAGAAAUAGAUUAAGAUGGUACAUAAUUAAACAUAAAAUAUAAAAAACAAAUUUAGGGUGAGAGAACAGAGAGUUCAUGCUGAAAUAUAAAAUAUAAAAAAGUCCAUACUUAAACAUAAAAAAUAUAAAUUUUUUUAUUCAGAUUUUCAACAAUUCGUGAAUAAUUUGCAAAUAAUUUGGCUAGCCCAAAAUAUCACAUUUUAUUUUGUUUUUUUUAGAAAAAAAAGGUCAUAUACGAAGAGUUGUAUUCGAAUUUUUAGUAAUUCAUGAAUAAUUCGUGAAUUCACUGACAUAGAACUUUUUUUUUGCAUUUGGCCCCUAAAAAAGAUUUAUUUUAAAAAUAGCUCAGGAAAUUUAUUUUUGCAAAAAUGACCAUAAUCCUGCUACGUAGGUGCCACGUCAGCACCACGUGAGCAAGGCUAGGGCAAGUUUGUUAAGUUGAAUACAGUGAAUCAUUCACCGUAUCUAAACACGGUGAAUGAUUCACUGUGUUUGGAAAAAAUAUAAUAUAUUCGUAUUGCGAAAAAAUAUAAGGAAAAUAUAUGGGGGUGUUUGAACAGGGUGAAUAGUUUACCGUGUCUAGAAAAAAUAUAUGUAUUAUAAAAAAAUAUAAGUAUUGAAAAGAAAAGGAGGGGAAUAUAGGUAAGGAACACGGUGAACAUUCGCCGUGUUUGAACACGGUGAAUGAUUCACCAUAUUCAACUUAAAAUCAUGGCGCUGAUGUGGCGCUUGCGUGGCGGCGAUAAGGCCAAAUUUGCAAUUAUAAAUUUGAUGGAACUAUUUGUAAAAAAAAAUAUUUUGAGGAGAUCAAAUGCAAAAAAGCCCUAAAUAAUAUGAUCAUUAGGGUUCCCUUUGGUUCAAGGAUAAAAUGGGUAUAAUGAAAGUUAUUACUGCUAUUCCGUCAAACCGAGUGCUUUUUGACCGGAAUAUUUUAUUUCGGUCAAAUUUUGCUAUUCCCGGCUAUUUCGGAAUAGCUUGAAAUUUACUAUUCCACCAUUUUAACAGAAUAAUGCUAUUCCAAAGUUUAAUUUCAAAUUUUAUUAAAAUUAUAAAUUGAAUUAAAACUAAAUUAUAAAAUAUUAUAUUUUAUUAUUUUUAUUAUAAAAUUAUUAAUUAUACUAUAUUAAUACAUAUUAUUUAAAUUUAAAUAUUAUAAUAAAAUUUAUAAUAUAUUAUAUUUAAAUGUUAUAAUAAAUUGUGUUUAUUAAAUAUUAUAAUGAAUUAUUUUUAUAAUAACUAUUUUAUAAGAAAUUAUUUUUAUUUAAUUAUAUUUUAUAUCAAACUCAACCAACCAUUUUUUUUCCACUAACCUUUCCUAUUCCAAAAAAUUAACCAAACACGAUUUUAAUUAUUUCUAGAAAUACCAGCAUUACAAACAAAACACAAUUUAUUUUUAUUCCUAAUAAUUCCAGAAUAACAAGCUAUUCUAAGAAUAAAAAAAAUUUAUUCUUCGUUAUCCCCAAACCAACGGGGCCUAGAAGUUUUAGUAGGAGAUUUUUAUUUCUGGAUGUCUUAGUUUGUAGCCAGGGAUUUCCCGAGUCUUUUUUUUUUUUUUUUUUCCUUAUUUGUUUCUUGUUUUUCUUUUGAUUUAUUUCUUAUCCUCAAUCUUAUCCUCAUCUUCCUUUUUUUCGGUUUUUCACUCUUAUCGCUUAGUGCAUUUUUUUAAUGAAACAAGCAGGCAGUGUACUAUUCUUCUCUCCCCCAAAUAAAAAAAGAUUAAGUACUGAGAUUACGCGCAUAGGCGUCUACAAAACUACUAGAAAUCCUUUUCCUUUAUUUUCUCCAAGUAAAUCACAUUUUUUUAAGUCGAGAGUACAACGAUUGUUUCACAUGAUAUCAGAAUAAAAGGUACUAAGUUCGUGUCACGCCAUGCUCCUUUUAUUGUUAAUUUUCUUCCAUUUAAUUCAAACCCACGUCAUGGGCGUGGCAAAAAAUUUUGAGCCCAGACGUAAGAAAUGUGUUAAAUAUAAACAAUAUAAAAAUACUGUUCUCUAGAAGGUUAAGUUUUUAGAAUACAACGGCCGUUUCACAGUCGGUCAAAGGGAGCUAGUCAAAAAAUAAUAGCUUAAGUUUUUGAAGUAUCAUAAGCUUUUAAAUAAUUGAACCCUUGGCGGAUCCUUGGCGGAUCCUUCAUCCUUUAUGAGGCUCUAGUAUUUAGUGGAAAGAUUCAAUCAAUUGUACAAAGCAUCAUUCUCCGUGAGAUCCUCGGACAUGAAAAUUAUAAAAGAAAAAUGAAAAAAAGAGAAUCUAUUAAGUGGUUAAUAUUUUCUUGUACAGCUUAAUUAGCGGAAUAAUUAUUUUCCUGAUGCAUGCAACCAACUCAUGUAACUAAAAUCAAAAGGACAAUUAAUCCCAAUAAAAUACUACUCAUUAUUGUGAUAUAUAAUAAAUCUAAGAGGUUUAGUUUCCAUAAAAAAAUUUCAAAUAUACUUUUCUGACUGAAAAAAUAUUUUUAUACGUUUGAUCUUCAAAAAAAAUAGUUUUUUUCUGAUUUUAUGGAAAGGUCUACUUUUCUUUUUUUUUAUUUUUUUUAUUCGGAGAACAAAAUCUAUAAAAGAGUGGUUUUAAAAAAUAUAUUUUUUUAUUUUCCACUCACUAAUAUCAUUUCACUUUGCUUGUUUAUGCAAUUAAUGCAUGCUUAGAGCUCCCCCAAAUAAAGCCUUUCUCAUGUCUCUCUUUUGCUUGUGGGUGCAAAGAGAGGUUGUUGCUUGUGUUUGAUUUAUCAAAAUAGAAGCAUUUAUGUACUCUCUCCUAGUGUUGAGGCAAAUGCUUCAAUGGAGAGGAACAAGAAAUAUCAUUAGGGUUUUCUAUUUUUCAGUACAUCUCUCUUCCUUUCUCCAUUAUUCAAGUAUAUGCAUGUGCUAAUGUAAUUUCAUGCAUGCUACAUGGAAUCUUGUAAAAGUUUCAUAAACAAGCGAAGAGCGCUUAAGAGCUGAGCUGGAAUGCUUUUAAAAACACAAAAACUUUCGUGCUUCCAAACUGAGCAGGAAUACUUUGAGAUCACUCGAUAGUUAGAUAAAUGAUAUUAAAAAUCACAAAAUUUAAAAACGUGACUCUCGGCGCUUCUUCUAAAAGCACCUAGCUCUACACUGUUACAUAAUAUAUCCUACUAUAAGCUACUUAUGAUUUCUGAAGUAAUGCAUGGAAUAUUUUAGCGAGAAUGGUGAGAUUAAGCCAUCAAUUAGUUAGAUGUUUGUCACACUAAUAAUAAGACAAAAUCCCUCACCUUGAUCUAAGAAGGUUAUCUAAAAGUCCAUGUUGGGAGUGGACCCUUGAUGAGCCCUUCACAACAACCCCAUGGUGCAUGCACUAAAUUCAAACUUUAUAGAUUCCAGGGGAAUUGCAUACAGCUACCUGUAAAUAUAACUAAUUGCAAAUAUAUCUCUAUAAAGUUUAAUUUUUCUUACGUUAUCUUUGCAAAAGUUCAAAUAUUUUUAAAUAUGCCCUUGCCAUUUAGGAUCUGUUAGAAAAAUUUAGUUAACUAUAGGUAAAAUACUCAACUCUGAUUAGUCAAUGAAGUAAAUUGAUAGUUUUAUUCCUCUUGUGUUAGACUUUCUUCGCUCAAUCAAAAUCCUAGCAAUAGGAACUCUUCUUUUUCUCUCUCGCUUCCUCUCUCUUUUAUGCUAGUUACUAAUAUGUAACUAGAAUUUAUCUAUCCUUAUUCAUCCACGAUGUGUGUUGCUCGUCCAUAUUGAACAUGUGUUGCUUCCCCAUUAAAUUUCCUUUAUAAUUUUUUUUUAUUUUGCUUAAAAGAAAAUGGAGAAAAGGAGAGUGAGAGAAGAGAUUGCAACAAUGGUGGAUUGAGUUAGAUUUUAAAGAGGAAGGAGAUUAGGAAGAAGAUGAUUAUUGAAAAUUUUUUGGGGUGACAUUUCUUCACGAUUAUAGCAGUUGAGGCUUUUUAGGGAUAUAUUUGUGAUGAUAAAAUUGACAUUUCACUUAUCCGUUAUUAAAAAAUAAAUAGUUCUUUAAUGGUAAUAAACUAGAGAGAUAAAUAUGAAUAUCACGGUAGUUUUGCAAGGAUAACAUAAGAAAGAUGAACUUGUAGGGAUAUAUUUACUAUUCGAUAUAUUUACAGGGUGCUAUAUGCAAUUAACCCUAGAUUCUACUUCAUGCUGUUUAAAACAGUUGGUUGAUAUACAAAAUCCAAAUUUGAAUGCUGCUCUGAGCUCGAAGUAAAAUCUAUAUGCCAAAAGAAAUAUGAUACUAACAUAUUAGAUUUAGUAAAUUUGAUCGAAUUAGAACGAAGUUAAUUAGUGCAAUGCUUUAAAGAGAGAUUAAUUUUAUUUUAGAUAAUCACUUAAUUAAUUAACCUAUAUUUUGCCAAGGGAUUUUUGCUUGGCCAUUAUUUAAAAUUUUCAAAUUUGUCCUAAAAUUAUCAAAAUACCUUUCUAAACCUCAAAUUUCAUUAAUAAAUGUUAGGAGCUUAGAAACAUUUGAAUUUUUUUUUGAAAAUCAAUAAAAUAUUUUGAUCAACAAAAAAUAUUAUAUAUUUUUGAAAAUUUGAAGGUUAUAUUAAAUAUUAUCCCUUUUGCCUCCGCAAACGCCUACACACUCAACAGGUUUAAAUGAUUAAGCAAGAGAUCAGCUUUGUCAUAGAACUAAUCAGUUUUUUUUUUAAUCUAAAAAAAAAAAGAACUCAUGCACUAUUGUGAUUAUACCACGUGUCACCUACAUAGUGUAAAUAAUUAAAUUAAAUCAUUGGGUCAUUAUCCAAAAUAUUUUCUAAUCCCACUUUUAGCCUACACAUUACUUAGUAUGUUUAAAUUAUAAUUAAGUAAAUAUGCACCGUUGUGAUCGAUCCAUGUGUCACCUACAUAGCAAUUAUUUCUUUGUACUAAUCCUAAUUUAUUCAUGAUUAAACUAUUUGGUGUUACUUUUCAAAAAAAAAAUGAUUAAACAAUUUGGUCAUUAUCCUAAACCUACCAAUUAGUGAAUAAAAGGUACAUGAUUAUCCAAGUGAGUUUGAUGGAAUAAUCCAACUCAGGAGUAAAUCGAAGAUUCGAGAGCAAAUUAUGAUGUUCACAUGGUUUAUAAAGUAUAUAUAUACUAUAUAAAAGUGUUUGUCUAAUUUGGUUAUCUAAUUAAACCACUAAGCAUUGUUCUUUAUAAAUUAAAAAAGGUAGACUAUAUAAAAAAUGGUAAAUAUAGUAACUAAUUAGACUUUAAUUUGCUACAAUUUAUGAAUUGAGCUUUAAUUUGCGCUUUAAUUAAUAGGAUGGUUUUGUUAUUAACUAACUUAGUUUCGCAAUCGAGGAUAAUGGUGUUUUCAUAACUGAUUCAGCUACUAAUAUUAUAUUUUAUUGAAUUUUGUGUUUAUGAUGCGAUAGCUAAUUUAGCAGCUACGUAAAAAUAGACAAUAUAGCGAGAUAGUUAAAAUAAAUUGUAAAAUACAUCACAUGAGGUGAUAAGAAAAUAAUGGAGGAGAAAAACUUUGCCACAGGUAUAAUCUCUUUGAAUGAAAAACAAGCUAGUAAGUAAUUAUCUAGGAUGAAAUGAAUAAAAUUUUACUAUAAAUAUUCGUUUUUCAAAUUUAUCCCCUAAUUUUUUUAAAAUAUUAUUCUCUUUUUAAAAAAAAUUUAAAGCAAUAGCACUUAGGGGCUGUUUGGUUGUACGCAUUUGCAACUGCAGUGCAGUUGCAAAUGCGUGCAGCCAUAAUUCCUUUGUUUGGUUUAGUGUAGUUGAGUUCAACUGCUGCAGUUCCAACUGCACAAGAAGGCCCAAAUGCUGUAGUUGGAACUACAUCCAAAUUGGUCGUAGUUUCAACUACAGCAGUUGGUGAGGGAGAAGAUCACCCACAAAUUAAUAAUAAUAAUAAAUAAAUAAAUAAUAUAUGUAUAUAGGUAAAUAAAAAUACUUAUAAAUAAACUCAUACUAAUAAAAUUUUUUAGACAAUACAAGCUUUGUGCAAAAAAUUAAUUUUUUUAAAUUUAUUUUAUUUAAAAUAUAAAUAUAGUUUUUUUUUCUAAAUUUUUAUAGAAUGUGAUCGUGUAUGUUAAUUUAAUAAGUUUUAAUUAAUUAUAAUUAUUAAAAUUCAUAAAAAAAAAUGAGAGAAUCGUUUAAAUUUUUAAAGUUUGAUUUACAUAUUAAAAUUAAAUAAAUUAAAAAUUUUAAAUGUGUCGAUUAAUAAGUUGAAGAAUUAUUGAAAAAUAUAAAAAUAUUAUAUAUAUCUACUUAUUUAUUUAUAAAUAGUAAAUUUAAAUAAUUAAUAAAUUUAUACAAUUAUUUUAUGUUUAGUGAAGGUAACCUCACCACUCUAUCUAAAGAGGUGACAAAAUUCAUAAAUACAACUAUCAGCUUCAUAUUACCAAACAGAAGAAAUGUAACUGCAGCAGUUGCAACUGCGUAAAACCAAACAGACUAGGUGUAGUUAUAACUGCAGCAUGCGCAACUGCAUGUAUUUCCAACUACACUGUUUCUGCAACUACAUCCAACCAAACGGCCCCUUAGUCUCCCCUUACUAUUUUGUUACCAUUAUGUAUGUGUAUUAAUUAUAUGGUAAAACUAAUAACUAUUAAUAUAUCUAUUUUAUACGAAAAUAAUGAAAGUUAAUUAUUUAGUGUAAUUUGAUUAAAAAAAUAAAUUUGGCAACAAAUUAAUUUUUUUGAUAAAACAUAAUUUUUUCUAAAUGGAAUGGUCAACUGAUCAAGGGAUGGCACCGCGCCACGGUUGGAAGGAUCCAAUCUGAGCCGUUCAUUUGACCGAAAGCUCUGAGCCAUGCAACGUCGCAUGUGACAACGCAUCCGCGUAGAUCACGAGAACCUUGCUUUGUUAAUUAAUUAACUAAUAUUUUUGAACCUUUGACCUAAAAAAAUUUGAUUGGGCUAUCUAAAUUUUUAAAGUUUUUAUUUUAUUAUUAUCAAAUCUCUCAAUUUAUUUGAUUUGAUCAGCGGAUGAUAUUUUAAUUUUAAAAUUAGAAUGUUGUUUAUUUUUAUAUAUUUAGCUAGUAUAUUUUAUAUAAUUUUCAUAACUAUAAAUUCAUCGAAAUGAAAAAAAAUCAGUAUAUAUAUAUUUAGCUAUAUAUUUAGCUAGUAAGAUCAAAAUUUUGGAAGAUAGAUAGUUGAUUCCGAAUAGUCAUAAUUCAGAUAAAUUCGAUACAUUUUUACCAAACAAUUAUGUCAAAAAAUUAAAAAUUUGAAGUUAUUAUAUUCAGUUUAGAGAAAAAUAAGUAUUUAAUUAUUUUUGUGAAGUAGGAUCAUGCGCACAUCAUAUAUAACACAUUAGAGAUUCCGUGGUCCAAACAGCGAUUCUUUACACAUCAAUGUAAAUCACGAGAUCCUUCAUUUGUUAAUUAAUUAACUAAUAUUUGAACCUUUCCUCCACCCCCAAUCACCGUCCAUUCCGUACAAUUCAAAACAUGUAAAAAAUUGUACCAAAAAUGAAUUUUUUAUUUUCCAAAAUUUCGCAAAUUAGGGUUUGCAAGCUUAUUUUGUUGUGAUAAGCAUUAGCAUUUUUUCUUGCAGAAUUAUCUAGAUAAGCAUUUUGUCGCUGUACGUAUUAAGAUAUUUUAAUAAGGUUUUGCUACAUCAUUGGCUCGAAAAAUAUUUUAAUGAGCUAAUGAAAUUAUGCGGAACCCUAAUUAAAGAAGGUAACUUACUUUUAUGUCUAAAGAUCACGAUUUUCAUGGCACAAAAGAAAAACUUUUUGCUUUUAAUUCCCACGACUUCUUUGCUAACAAGUGUUUCACUGCUGUCAGCCCCGGCUAAUCACUUUUUCUUUUUCUUUUUUCUUUUCUGCGCAUGUGUACGUGCGCAAGUUCCGCUAUGGUCAUAUUUGUCUACUCCUAUUUGAUUUAUGGGUGUGUUUGGUUCGCAUUAUGAAAGAUUAUUAGGAAUAAAAAAUAUUUGAGAAUUUUAUUUCUAUUUAUUUUAUUACUAAGAAUGUAAAAUUCCUGUGUUUGGUUUGCUUUUAAUUUCCACAACUUCUUUUAUAACAAGUGUUUCACCGCUGUCAGCCCCGGCUAAUCACUUUUUCUUUUUCUUUUUUCUUUUCUGUGCAUGCGCACGUGCGCAAGUGCGUGUUUGUGGCGGUUCAGCUAUGAUCAUAUUUGUUUACUCAUAAUUGAUUUAUGGGUGUGUUUGGUUCGCAUUAUGAAAGAUUAUUAGGAAUAAAAGAUAUUUGAGAAUCUUAUUUCUGUUCAUUCUAUUACUAAGAAUGUGAAAUUUCUAUUUUUGGUUUGCACGGUAAUAUUAAUUAGCCAUGUUAUUUAAUAUUAUAAAAAAUAUACAAUUAAUUUAUUUAUUUAUUUAAUUAAUUUUAGAUAAUAUUACCAAAAGUUUCAACAUCUUUUUAGAAAAAAGUGAGAGAGAGUAUAAGUUUGAGAGAGAGAGCAUAAUUAAAAAAAAUAGAAAGAAAAAUAUAGUCGAAAUUAGAGGGAGUGAGAGAGUUGAAAUUUUAGAAAAAGAGAGAGAGAGAGAAAGCUUAGUUUAGAGAGAGAAAAAAAAAUUGAAAUUUAGGGAGAAAAAUAAGUUUAGAGAGAGAUAUAAGGUUAGAGUGUAAAGAAAAAUAAUAUCAAUUAGCCGGCGGGUAGGAAGAAAGAAAGAGAUUAGAUAUAUUAUGAUUACCCCAAUCCUACCCAUCCUCCCUCAAGGGAAUGAGAUUAGUACUUUGGGGUGAAUCUUAUUCCCAAAUAAAUCCAAUAUUACCAACUAGAUUACUUAGUGCGUUUAGCCAAAUAUCGUCAUAUUUUUUUAAUCCCAUUAGAUUACUAGAAAUUUUUAAAAGAUAGGGCGAACCAAAUGCACCCUAUAGGUUAAAAAGUAAGUUUUUAGUUGAACUGAAAUUUAAGUAAAAAAAAAGGUAAUUUUUCGUUACUAUUUGAUUGAUAGGAAGUCCACGGCACUGCAUUUGUAGUUAUUCCACUUUUUGCAUUUAUUUUACUGAAAAUUUUUAGGAAAAACUUCAAAUAUCCCUUGUGGUUUCGUACUUUCUUACUUUAGUAUUAUGUGGUUUAAAGUGUAUCAAGUUAGUAUCCUGUGGUUUCGCACUUUCUCACUUUAGUACCCUGUGGUUUAAAGUGUUUCAAGUUAGUACUCUGUAGUUUCAUUUUUGUAUCAAAUUAGUACCUCGUGGUUUCAUUUUUCUCUUUUUAUUAUCCAUUUCGGAAUAUUUUUUUCGCUAAAUCAGUGAUAAAGUUAAACUAAAUGAUACUAAAAUGAAUAUUCGAUAAACUUAGGUAAGGUGUCGGAAGUUUUUCGUAUAUAAUUUAACGAAAUAUUAAACCACGUGGUAAUAAAGUGAGAAAGUGCGAAACUGUAGGGUACUAAUUUGACAUACUUUAAAUCACAGGAUACUAAAGUGAGAAAAUGUAAAACCACUGGGUACUAACUUGAUAUAUUUUAAACUAUAAGGUACUAAAGUGAGAAAAUGUGAAACUACACGGGAGUAUUUGAAGUUUUUCUAAAUUUUUAUAUUAUCAUACAAGAAGGUUAAAAAUAGUCACAAUAGUUAACUUUUUAUUACUUUUUUAAUUUCUUUCUCUUCCACACGGGACUUCACCGCCAUUGACUCAAAAGAUAUUUUAUUAAAGAGCUAAUGAAAUUAUGCGGAACCCUAACGAAGGUAACUUUUAUGUCUAAAAAUCACGAUUUUCAUGGUACGAGAGAAAAACUUUUCGCUUUUAAUUUCCGCGCGCGGCUUUUUUGUUAACAAGUGUUUCACUACUGUCAGGUCCGUAAUUGAUUUUUCUUUUUCAAUUUUUCUUUUUCUUUUUUUUUUUUCUGUGCACAUAUACGUGCGUAAGUGCGUGUUUGUGGCAGUUCAGCUAUGGUCAUAUUUGUUUGCUCGUAAUUGAUUUAUAGAUUAAAAAAUAAGUUUUUAGUUGAAUUGAAAUUUAAAUAAUUUUUUUCUUUUUUUUUAACUUAAAUUUAAGAAAAGUGACGAAGAGGAGAAGAGGAAGGACUUUUCUCAACAUGGGGGCAAACAAACAUGCAGAAAUACUGAGUCGACGAAGGGGCAAAAUGGUAAAUACACUUUCCACACCCUCUCCAUUUAUAUACAUACAUGAUACACCCCCAAACCAAGGAACACAAACAAAGCAUUGUCUCCUCUGUUCGUUCCCCCACAUUUCCCUUCGCUCUUCAAAGUCUCAAAACACAUCUCUCUCUCUCUCUCUCUCUCCUUCAAGGGAAUGCGCCAUGACGCUCGCUGACGUAAGCGGCGGGGGGCGGCGACGUGCCGCUCUGGCCAUCCGUUUCUUGCUUCAAUAUUUACGUAGCAGCAGUAGUCACUAAUCACUCCUCAUCCUCAAAUUCGAUCGAUGACUGCUGUUCUCUCCUGAUCGACGUACAACACAUCGGCAUGAAGGAGGAGGAGGAGGAGGCGGCGGCGGCGGAGGGGGUGGUCGCAUGCUCCGCCUCGUCCCGAUGCGGCGGCGGAGGCGGCGGCGUCCUCGGCGGGCGCUACGAGCUUGGCCGCGUCCUCGGCCGCGGCGCCUUCGCGAAGGUCCACCGCGCCCGCGACCUCCGCUCCGGCCGCGCCCUCGCCAUCAAAGUCAUCCACAAGGAUAAGGUACACGACGAGACACGACACGAAGAUUUCAUGCUUUUAAUGCUUUUAGAGUUCGUUUGGUUGGCGGUUAAUAAUAUUCUUACAAUAUUAUUCAAAAUAUUCAAAUUAUUAUUAUUCUGCUGUAAUUUAAUAAUUGUAAAAAAUAUUACUAAAAUAACAAUAAAAUUAUCAUAAAUUUUGGAGGAUAAAAACAAUAAAUUAUUCUGAAUUAGAAAUUAUUCUUAUUUUUAAAUGAUACGAUUUAAAAUGAGUUUAGUGCGCAAGUAAUAAUUGAUAAUUAACAAAGCCGGUAAUAUUUUUUAAGAAAUUAAAACAUGAAAAUUUAAUAUACUAAUAAUACACUAGUAAUAUUGGUUGAGACAUCUACUCCCGGAUCUUCUACACAUAUGGCAACGAAACUUUUCCAUAUAUAUCCCUAAAAAAAUAUACCUAUACUACUACUAGUAUAUUAUAGUACUAUAUAUAUGAUACUAUAUAUAAUCGCCAUAUUGGCAGUAUUUAUUGACCGGAUACAUCGAUUCUACUUUUUAAAAAAAAAAAAAUAUUUUAAAAAUAAAAUAAACAGAGAAUUUAUUGUCUUUUCAUUUUCUUUUUAUUUUUUUUUUUAAAUACAGAUUCUGCAAUACGGCAUGGCCGAGCAGCUGAUGCGCGAGAUCUCAGCGAUGAAGACGCUCCGCCACCCGAACGUGCUCGAGCUGUAUGACGUCAUGGCGAGCCGCUCGAAGAUCUACCUCGCAAUGGAGCUGGCCGGCGGCGGCGACCUCUUCUCCCGCAUCGCCGCCGGCCGCCGCCUACCCGAGGACGCCGCCCGCCACUUCUUCCGGCAGCUCGUCUCCGCCGUCGCCUUCUGCCACUCCCGCGGCGUCUGCCACCGCGACCUCAAGCCCGAGAACCUCCUCCUCCUCGACGUCGACGGCAGCCCCCUCCCCACCCUCAAGGUGGCAGACUUCGGCCUCAGCGCCCCCCUCGCCGGCUGCCUCCUCCGCACCGCCUGCGGCACGCCGGCCUACACCGCGCCGGAAGUCCUGCGGAAGAGAGGAUACGACGGGCGGAAGGCCGACGCGUGGUCGUGCGGCGUCGUCCUCUACGUGCUUCUCGCGGGCUUUCUGCCAUUUCUAGACGACGACAUCAUCCGCAUGCAUAAGAAGAUGCUGAGAAGCGACUUCCGCUGCCCGCCGUGGCUCUCGGCCGACGCGCGGAGGGUGCUGACGGGCUUGCUCGAUCCCGAUCCCGAUAGCAGGACGACGAUCGCGAAGCUUGCGGAGGCGCCGUGGCUCAAGAAGUGCCCGAUCCCGCGAGGUUUGUCGCAAUCCACGGAGAAGUGGAAGAGGAAGGAGGCGGCGGCGGAGGAGGAGGAGGCGGCGGCGACGAUGAACGCGUUUCAUUUGAUUGCGUUGUCGGAGGGAUUCGACCUGUCGCCGCUUUUCGCGGAGAGCGGCGGGGAGGAGGAGGAAGAGAUGAGGGCGGCCGCGAAGAAGGAGAGGGCGAGGGGAGUGGUUUCGACGCUGGAGAGAGUGGCGAGGGCUAGGGUGACGAUCGCAGCAGCGGCAGCGGCGGCAGCAGCGGCAGCAGCAGCAGUUGAAGUUUUUCCGGUGACGCCGUUCUGCCGUGAUGAGCUCCGGCCUGCUGUUAAGUUCGUAAUGUGGGCGGAGUCAGAAACUCAAGUUUCUGCUGCUUAAUUGGUAUCUUUUGUACGUAGCAUGGCUUAAUUUAUCUGCGAUCUUAACUGUUGGAUACAUAAUAUCUGUGUUGUUACUUUGUAAGAGGAAAUAGACACUCAUAGAGUGCUCUACUAGGUAUAUGAUAUCUUUUGGUCCAUUUGAUGGUUGGAUCAUUUCGAAUUCCUAAGAGGAAUUGGGGAUUUAACCCCUAUCAAAUGAAAGGAAAAGAAAAAAAAGAUCGAUUGUUGUAUGUCUUGACUGGUUUCAGCAAUUUGAAUUAGUAAAUCUUAAGGUGCCAAAUGGAUUUAUUUCUAAUUGUUCUUUCAUACUCGGACAAUUUUGACUAAUUAUGGUUUGAAGGGUCUAAAAGAUCCCAAAGCAUUAUUCUGAAAGGUUUUUAUUUAAUGCUAUUAAAUAAAUGAUAGUAGAAUCACCGAUGAACUAUUCGGAUGCUACCAAUCGUCUCUAGCGCAAAUGACAAAAAGGCUUGGUGGUUGGUACCCGAGACUUAGGUUCGAAUUCUAAUUAAAUCACAUUUACAGCUAAGUUUAUUUCUAAAUGAAAUAAACGAAACGGGUAGCAUGCUAUCUUUCUUUUAAAAAAAAAAAAAAAACUAUCCAGAUGCUGCUGCUAUAUUCAUCUUAUAUAUUUGUUGGCCGAAAAAAUCUAAUGUUCUGCCACUGUAGUGAAAAUUUAAUUGGGCCGAACGACAAUUGAGCCCAUAAGCACCGUGCAUCUAGACACUUUAUGUGUGAUGAAUGCGUCUUUUCUUUCAUUUUGAUCUUUUGAAAUUAUUGAUUUGCGUUUUCGAUUCACAAGUGAUAUCAAAACCGAUGAUGUAGGGUUAUUGGUGGAAAUUGAUUUUAUAUUCUACCUAGCGGAGAAGAUCAGGUUGGGCUCAGUUAAUUUAUAUGAUGAAUGUGUGUUUUUUUAGCCCGAGCUUUUAAAAUUAGUAGUUAGUAUUUUCAAUCCAUAAUAAUUUUUAUCAGCCCAAUAAUCUACUAAUCCAUAAAUCUUUUUUUUUUUUUGAGAGAUAAUCCAUAAAUCUAUUAACAUCGAAGAAGCAUCUGCCCGAUGCUUCUCGAUUCAUCAAUCGUAUAUUUAUGCACAAAAAAUCCGUCAUUGCUCUCGUAUAUUUAUUUCAAUAAUCAAACUUUUAAAUAUAAAAAAAUGCCACAAUUUAAUAGGAGGUAGGAUUGGAACAUGAGAUGAAAGUUUAACGAUGGAUGUAUGAAUUGUGCGGGGAAAUAAUGUGCACUGGGUGCAGGCAAUAAUUUAUCUUAGUUGUAAAAAUAAGCCUACAACAAAUUUGGAAGUUUAAGAUCUUCAAUGCCAAACUCAAAAUGUUUAAGUAUCAGAGUGAAACUUGUUGGAAAAAUUCUUUCUAAAUCUUUAGUAAAAAUUAUAUCUUUUUGAAAAUAUUCAGAAACACGAAGUUCUAACAAGUAUUUUAAAAUGCAUGCAUGAAUCGAUCAAUGAGUAAAUAUUAAGAAGAGAAUAGACGAGGCCUGUGAGUUGAGACGUGCUAAAGCACUGUCCUAAAAGCGAGAUUGUCCCUCCACGUGCGAGGCUCCAACAAUCACUCACAGCGAUACAACGACCACUAUCCAUUCCGUCGGCAUGUCUUCAGAAUGGUGCAACACGAACCCAGUAGGGUUUAGGAGAUCCAGCAAAAUAUAGAAAGCUCAGUGUAGAAAUAAAUGAAACUCAGUGUGAAAAGAGAUAAGCUCGGUGCACAAGGGAAUAUUUAAAAGAAUUUUUUUAAAUAAAUAAGAGUAGUUUGGUCUAUUUUAAAGUUUUAGAGGGCAUAUUAUACUAUUAAUUUUACAUAUAAAAUACAACUUUUAGAGACUUAUUUCUUAUAUAUUAAAUAGUAUUUAUAAUUUGUAUACACUUGCAUGCUUUUUAAGUGCUCUAUAUUUUCAUAUGCUUGAUUAGAUUUUGAUAAUAAAAAUGUACGAAGACACUUGAACUACAACCUGUUUUAAAAACAGCCCCCCUAAUUUCCAGUUAUUUGAGUGGCACUAGUUUAACUUUGAAAUUUACAGUUAGUUAAGUUGCAAAUUUCACAAAAUUUAAAGGUUAUAAGAGCCAUUAGAUGUUAAUUAUUUUAACUUUAUUAGCUAAAUAGUGAUUAAAAUUAUUAAUAUUUAUAAAUUUAAUUAUUCAAUUUGAUAAAAUUUCUAGCUUUUUUGACUAAAAUAUUUUAAUUUUAAGUAAUUAGAAAUUAAGAAAGCAAAUAUCUCAAUUAAAAAAUAAGGAAAAACUUGAAUUUUGCCCCUUGUAGGUUAGAAUAUUUUCACUUCGACGCUAUGUGGUUUUAAAAGUUUUACUUUGCAAUUUUGUGAUUAUUUUUCUUUGUAUCAUAAGGUUUUGGUGUUAAGUAUAAUAGUAGAGUACUAAAAUUUGCAAAGUAGAAAAUAAUAAAAGGAUACAUUUUACAAAGGCUAAAUUACAGAAAACUCCCUUGUAAUAACCCGCUUUUUCACUUUCCCUUCCUGACAUUUAAAAACCUACACUUUGUCCCCCUGUAAAAUAAAAAAUGUGCACUUCACUCUCUACCGUUAGGGUUCCGUCAGGAUUCCGUUAAAAAAUAUAUUUUUAUGCCGAAAAUACCCCUCUGCCAUCUCCCUGUUGCUUCGACUCCCUCCGGCUCGCCACCUCGCCGCCGCCUCGCCGCGUAGCCGCCUCGCCGUCCUCCACUGCCUCGCCCUCACCCACAUCCCCUUCGCCGUCCUCCGCCGCCUCGCCUUCACCUGCUUUGCCCUUCUCUUACUGUCGCCCACCUCGGUUUUUUCCUAUUGUCGCCGAAAUCGAGGGCGGCGAGAGUGCAGGAGGAGAAGGGGAGCAGGUGGAGAAGAAAAUAAAGAGAAAUCGCGGCCGAUUGAGGUGGGAAUCGCGGCCAAACGAAGGGGCAGCUGAGAAAGAUGGGGAAGAAGACGACAAUGGCGAGGGGCAAAAUGGUCAUUUUACACACCGUAACCCCCUGUGAACAUUUUUCAUUUUACAGGGGGGCAAAGUGUAGGUUUUUAAAUGUCAGGGGGAAAAGUGAAAAAUCGGAUUAUUACAGGGGGUUUUCUGUAAUUUAGCCUUUUACAAACUACAGACAAACUAUAACAUUUUACUAGAUUAUAUAUAUUUUUUACAUGAUUAUGCUGUGGUUUAUAAAAUAUAUUAAUUUAAUAUUUAAGGGAGGGUCAUUAUAGUGAGAUAAAAAUAAAAUAGUUAUUCCUAUUUACAUAGAUAUUUCUAAAAAUUGUCAAAAUCAAAAGUACCCUUUUAAUUUUAUAAAAUUAUCCAUAUUAUCUUUAUUAAUUAACUCUGUUUAAAAUUAGACUUUAGGAUUGUAGUAUUUUUAAGAUUUUAGGAUUUUAGAGUUAUUAGAAUUAAAACAUUUCUGAUCAUAAAAUAAAAUAUUAAAGUAAAAAAAAAAUACCUCAAAGUACAUGCACAACAAUUGAAUUUUUUUAGAAAAAAUAAAUAUGAUGAGUGCAUUUUGAAACCAAAUGGAGUAAUCCCGACAGGAUUACCAGUAAUCCUGCCAGGAUAAUCAGAACCUAUCGCACCCUCAAUUCCUUGAACAAAAAUCUGGUGCGACACUGCCUCACAUGAGACUAUUUUAUCUGUCGUCCAUCACAAAACCGCGCAUCUUUAGGUCGCGUGAAUGGUGUAUCAGAAGCCUAACAUUGAGGAAGCUCUCACCAUUUUUUUGGAUUAAUUGUCCCAAUUUUUGCAUCUCUUUUUACUUUGGUUUUCAUUUUAAAAUUAAAAAAAUACGCUGUCAUGGCGCUAUGCCAGCGCCAGUUAAUUAUAUAAAUUUAAUUUUAAUUUUAUAUUAUAAACUUAAAUUUAAAAUUUAAAUUAUAUUUUGAAUUAAAUUAUAAAUUCAAAUCUAAAUUUUUUAUUUAUGAUUUAAAUUUUAAAUAUAAAUUUUGAUAUUGGAUUCAAAUUAAAUUCAAAUUCAAAUUCUGAUCUUGUAUUUAAUUUUAAAUUUAAAUUCACAUUUUGAAUUAUAAUUCUAGUUUAGUUUCAAACUUUGAUUUGGAAUUUCAAAUUCAAAAUGUGAAUUUGAAUUCAAAAUUUAAAUUCAAAUUUAGAAUUGAUAUCAAAUAUCAAAUUCAAAUUUAAAAUUUAAAAUCAAAAUUUUGAAUUUGAUUUUACAUUUAAAAUUUUGAUUUUCAAUGCAUAUUCAAAUGUCAAAAUUAAAAUCAAAAUUUUAAGUUUGAAUUCAAAAUUUAAAUUCAAUUUAAAAUUAAAAUUUAAAAUUUAAAUACUAAUUCAAAAUUUUAAUGCAGCUUUAAGUCAAAAUUGUAACUUUAAAUUCAAAUUCAAAAUUCUAAUUUCUAGUUAGUUUUUAAUUUUAAUUUUAAUAUUAAUUUUGAAAUUAAAUUAAAAUUUUGAAUUUAUAAUUUUAAAGACUAAACUGAAAAAUAUGUAAAAUUUGGAGAUCAAAAUUGAUAUGCAAAAAAAAAGCUAUGUCUAUUAAUUUUAAUUUAUUUUUAACGAUUGAAAUAUAAUUAUAAUAAAAUUAAGAGAUUGAGUAUUUGAUUGUAAAAGUUAAAAACUCAAGUAAAAAACUGUUGAAACGUUGAGGACCAAUAAUGUAAUUAACUCUCUUUCUUUUUUUUUUAAAAAAACUUCAAAUAUCACUCAUGUGGCAUCACACUUUCUAAUUUUUGUACUCUAUGAUUUAAAGUGUAUUAAUUUAGUGUUGUGGUUUCAUUUUUAGUUUUUUAUUAUCAAUUUUAAUAAUUUUUUUCGUUAAAUUAGUAAUAAAGUUAAAACUAAAAAAUAAUAAAGUAAAUAUUCGAUAAACAUAGAUAGGAUAUCUGAAGUUUUUUAUGUAUAAUUUAAUAAAAUAUUUAUAAAAAAUUAAUAAAAAAGAUAAAAAUAAAACUAUAUAAUAUUAACUUGAUAUAUUUUAAACCAGAGGUACUAAAGUGAAAAAGUGGGAAACUAAGGGAGUGGUAUCUGAAGUUUAUUUUAUUUUAUUUUUUCUUUUCACUUUUUCCCCUUCUUAUAAUCUCUCUCUCAUUUCAUGCGGAGAGAGAGAGAGAGAGAGAGAGAAGAGAAGAGAAGGGAAAAGACUCGUAAAACCUUAGCNGAAACUAAGGGAGUGGUAUCUGAAGUUUAUUUUAUUUUAUUUUUUCUUUUCACUUUUUCCCCUUCUUAUAAUCUCUCUCUCAUUUCAUGCGGAGAGAGAGAGAGAGAGAGAGAGAAGAGAAGAGAAGGGAAAAGACUCGUAAAACCUUAGCGGCGAAGAUCGACAGAGGACGGGGAGGGGUCGGCAAUGGCGGAUCACGAGGCGCGGGGCGACGACUUCGAGAAGAAGGCGGAGAAGAAGCUCACGGGGUGGGGCCUCUUCGGAUCCAAGUACGAGGACGCCGCCGAUCUCUUCGACAAGGCCGGGAACUCCUUCAAGCUCGCCAAAAAUUGUAAUCGAGAUCUCCUUACCCCCUUUUAUUUUUUUUUCCUCUCCAAUUUGUGUUGAUUUCGAUCUGUUUGCGCUUCGUUGGUCGGUGAACUCGGUGUUUCGAUCGCAUGCUUUUGAUCUUUGGCGUGGUCGGAUCGGAUUCGAUUGCAUUGUUUUGCGCGGAUCUGAUAGGGUUUGAUCGUGUUGGUGCGGAUAAUUUGAUCGCUUUGAGAGGAUCGGAGCUCGUAAAGAGGGAAAUAGAGAUAUAAUUAGAAAAGGGGGCUUAUGUGAUUCAUCUGUUAUUAAAGAGGAUAUACAGCAUAAUUUGAAUUUGUUCGAAAUAAGGGAACUAAUCUUAAACAAGCUCUUUAGGAAUUUGCAGAAACACCUCUUUCUAGAUUGGAAAAUGUUCGAAAUCAAACCCUAAUUGGGAAAUUAUGGGGAGCGUGUCAGGGUCUUGCUUAAAAAUUUGAUUGGAAUGAUUGGACAGUGGAGAUUGAUUUAUGUGCGGAGCUAAAAAUUCUUGUUGCAUGCGGAAAUUACGAUGAACGAUAGGGAUUCUAGCAUGUUAAAGUUAUAGUGAGAGAUCAUUUCACCGCUUUCUCGAAGAUUGAUAUGUUAUUGUAUCUGUAAAUGUGAUUAAUUAUCAUUGCAUGCUUCUGGACUUCGAGAUCUCUGGCUCGUCCUAGCAUUUUAUAUCCAAUGCUAUUAGUAUGUUGCGAUCACCCACAUGUAUUUUUAUCAAAUGGUAUUUUUCUUCCAUUGUCUGAGACUUAUGUAUAUCGUAUCAUUUUUUCAUAGCUGUGUCUUGACAUUCACUGGGCAUUACCUAACUAUUCUUCAACAGCCAAUUUGCUUAUGAUGCAGUAGACGAUGGAUUUCUUGUCGAUUAAUUGAAGUCAUUCGACAAUCUUUGCAACGAAAGGAUUGUUUGAACAUGUUCUUUUAGGCUUACCUAUCUGUCAUUGGUGUUGCAGGGGAGAGGGCCGGAGCAGUAUAUAUCAAACUUGCUAACUGUCAUUUGAAGGUACAUUCCAUUACACCUUGAGAUAUCUGAAUUUAUUGUUAUAAGCAUGAUUAGAACCCAAAUCUUGUUUCUCAACUGGCAGUUAGAGAGCAAACAUGAAGCUGCCUCAGCUUAUGUGGAUGCUGCAAAUUGUUAUAAGAAAAUCUCACCUAAAGGUACUUAUGUUUAAGAAUUUCUUUUAUCUGCUGUAGGACUUUUAGAUAACAUUUUUUUCAGCAGUGCCAAAUUACCUUUUCUUUCGCCUCGAGUUUUUGUGUGUUAGGAUUUGCAUUUUUUUUUAUUCUUUUCAUGUUUCAGCAUUUUAAUUGUCUGUUUUGCCAUGCAAUAUCCUUAUCUGCAGAUGCUGCACAAGCCUUGAACCAGGCUGUUAACCUUUUCUUAGAGAUUGGCAGAUUGAACAUGGCAGCAAGAUACUGCAAGGUAUUCUCUCCUUAAGAGAAAAAAAACAGUUUGUACUAUACUCGUAUUAUAUACCAAUUAAUAUAUAUAUCAGAUUUACAACUAGUUUUGUUUGGUAAGCAAGCCAUAUUUUCACCAUUUGUUAUUCUCUCCCACCCCCACCCCAACCCCCAACCACCGCCCCUCCCCUCCGAAUGGUAGGUGUAUAGAUGAACGUGCCUCUUUUGAAAUGGCUGCUAUAUGUUUGUAGAAGGGAUGGUUGUUAUAUAUAUAUAUAUAAUUCAUUUUCCUCUUCUUUAUCUUCGUUUUUUUCUCUUUUUCCCUUGUCUCAUUUUCCUCUUUUUUAUCUUCGUUUUUCUCUUUUUCCGUUGUCUCUUCAUCCUAACUGCACAUCUUUUAAUCCAAGGGCAAAAAACUUAAUAGCACCAAGUCAUUGGUGCUAUUAAUAGUAUUCCAGCCUAGUUCUCUCUCUCUCUCUCUCUCUCUCUCUCUCUCUAUAUAUAUAUAUAUAUAUAUAUAUAUAUAUAUAUGUGGCCUACAAAAACCUGUACUUGCAGACUGCUUUUUGAGAAAAUGUUGUCUGGGUAACAUCUUAUAUUUCAUUUUGCAGGAGCUUGGUGAGUUAUACCAGCAGGAACAGGAUUUAGAAAAGGCUAUAGAUUUCUAUGAACGGGCUGCCGAUCUUUUCCAGAGUGAAGAAGUGACGACUUCUGCAAACCAGUGCAAGCAGAAGGUUGCAGAAUUUUCUGCACAGCUGGAACAGUAAGAAUGACGUCAUUUACUAAAUAUUGUAUAUGCAUGCAGCAAUUUUAAAAAUUUGAUUGUUGUAUCGAAAAAUCAAUUCUCUUCUUUUUAGAGCAGUAAGUUCCAUGAAUUGGAAUCUGCAUACACACUCAUGGAUCCCUGUUAUGUUGUUUUAUGGCUCUAGGUCUAUUAUUCACAUCAUGCUUAUUUAUUUGCAAAUAAAACUUGCAGUAAACCCAUUUCUCAUUCCUUGUUAUAUUCAGUCAGUUAUUUAUAUCCAAUGGCUUUUGCUCUUGUUGGUCUGAGCUCAAGUGAGAGAAAGCAGGAGUUUAACUCAGCUUCUAGAAUUAUUCAACACUGUGAUGCACUUUGAUUUGUUGUAGUGCACUGUGGGUGUGGGACAUAUAUAUGCUGCAAUUUACAAUUCAUGUUGUUGUUGAUUGUUGUUACUUGUUACUAUUCUUGUAUUUUCUUCUGGUUGAUUAUUGUAUACUCUUUGGUCUGGUUCUCUUUCUUUUCCGAAAUUACACCUGAGUAUUUGGAAUUGUGGUUCCUUCUUGUUAUUAGCUGACUAAAAAGUUUGAAAUUUUCUUUCCAAUGCUAAUGGUUUCUCUUAUUAAGCCCUUAAAUCAGUUCUAUGUUUCUUUUAGGUGUAUGGAUGAAUUGGUACUUUCGUAUGCAUCCAUGUGGUUCUUUUUCUUGAUGGUCUCAGAAAUUACAAGUAGAAUUAACUUUAACUCUUCCUCUUCCAAUCUUUGACCUGUGAAGUUGUCUUAAUUGCUACAAGGAAACAAUUAAAUCUUAAGCCCAACUAUGACUUUUGUUAUAAGUAGUAAUUUUUCAGUCUCUUGGAUUCACAUAUAAUUCAUCAUGGAACAUCUUGCAUUGUCAUAUUCAGUGCAUUUUUGAGACUUAUAUGCUGAAGUAUACUAGGAUUGCUAACAUGGUUGGGAAAUUUUUCAGAUACCCAAAGGCAAUUGAGAUAUUUGAAGCAAUAGCACGGCAAUCAAUCAACAACAGUCUUCUGAAGUACAGUGUCAAAGGAAUUCUCCUUAAUGCUGGUAUCUGCCAACUUUGCAAAGGUGAUGUUGUUGCAAUUACAAAUGCACUGGAGCGAUAUCAGGUUCGAUUUAUCAAAAUUCUUUCAAAAAUCAAAAUAUUUGAAUUUUCUGCCCUUUAUAGAACACAGCAAUCUGAAUUUGCAUAUUAUUCAUUUUACAGGAACUUGAUCCUACCUUUUCUGGCACUAGAGAAUACAAACUGCUAGCUGUAAGAUCCAACCUACUAUUUAAUCUUGCAAUUUUUUGCGCAUCUUGUGCUAUUGUCUUUUCGAUAACAAGCUAUUGUUUUUGUGGUACGAGUAGUGUGAAGAUUCUUGAGCCAUAUAAAAUUUCUGUGGUUUUCUUUGAAGUUCUUUACAAUCUUGUGCAUAGGAUUUCACAACAGUUCGGUGCCCCACAGUAAUUGAUUCUUAUGUGAACUAACUCUUGCUAAUUGAGUUUUGUAAUUAUAUAACAGGAUUUGGCAGCUUCUAUGGAUGAAGGAGAUGUUGUCAAAUUCACUGAUUUCAUCAAGGAGUAUGAUAGCAUGACUCGACUGGUAUGUUAUGACUUGGCAAAAGCAUGCUCUAAACUGUCUUGUUUAUUUAUGCUGGUGUAAUGCAUGUUCAACAAUCUUUUAAGAUGUUAAUAUUGUUCCCUUCUAUUACUUGAUCGUGUUUGCUCAGAUUUGAUCGAAACUUGUUAAUUCUGUUAGUAUUUGGGUUUGGAGUCGGGUUUCAUGUUGACUUUAGUUCAAAAUCUGACCCAGACAGGAUCAGAGCCUGAUUUGAACCCAAAUUUUAAUGCGGUUCACAGAAAACCGGAAUAACAAUCUCGGGACAUCUAGUUGGUCCAAAACUAAAUCCAGGCAGUGGUGUGAAAAUUUGCUGCACCGCAGUGCCCCUUUUUGAGUUUACCCUUGGCUUUGUGAGAAGCAAUUUGGGUGAUGCCUUGUUCCCAAUUUGAAGCACUUCUCCGACAGAUUUGUAAUCGUAUUGCCUUCUAAUACGCUGUUUGAACGGAUGCAGGAUCCUUGGAAAACCACUCUUUUACUAAGAAGCAAGAAUGCUCUAAAAGCUAAGGAAGAAGAGGAAGAUGAUCUGACUUAAAUUGUUUGAAGGCCUUAAACUUCAGCGGACUUUGUUGUAUUAUCACUAAUUCUGUGGAGUUCCUAUGUAUUUAGCGUGUUUGGAUAUAACAGCUGAGGUGGUCUAUACUUUUUUAUGUUCAAAUAUGUGUGCAAAACUCCUGUAGAUGUUUGCUUUUUCCCCCCUGCUCUGCCCCUGAGGUACUUCUAUGUUGCCUAUACUUUGUUGCAAUAAGAUCAGUGAUUGGUUUAUUCGAGGGUUGUACUGUUGAUCGGCAUCGGUAUUUGCAUUGCUAUCAUUUCCAUUUUGUGUCGUAGUUCCAUUGGAAAUGUUUGGUAAGUUCAUUCUUCCUUGCAUUGCUGCCAUGUUCAGGCUGGUGGCCGCUCGUGCCAAUAGACUUGCAAAUUGGUCCGUACGGCUGUGGUUUGAAACCCAGCUUGCUGUUGCAUUACGCGUCGAGUUUUAUGUUUGCGGUUAGUUCCCAUCUCUAUGUUAACAAAUAUGGGAGAAGUUUGAUCUUUUGUUUCAAUCUUUUAUCGUCUUAGUGUAAAUUUUGUUCAUGCCGACAUUGAAAGCUGUUUCAAAUUCUCUGCUUCAUCUGAAAGGUGGCCACCACGGUGCUGAUUUGCUGCUGCUGCCAAACCACUGCUCAUCUCCAGUCUUUUCUGUUCAUGCCUUUCCGGCGCGAAGGCUAGUUUCUGAAACUCGCAGUUUCUCCCUCAUUAAACUGUUUCUUUGCCAGAUUUCCAUUUUGCCAGCACGUUCUAAACAUGAGUGCUAGCAAAUUAAACAAGCUCGAAAGUUCGACCAUGAGUUUGGGUGAAACAAACUUACCCUAAGUUCAGUUCUCCUGCCCUUCAGGGCCAAACAUACCUUUGCUAUUUCUUUAGUAGAUGAAUUGGAGAUUUGGAUAAAAUUAACAUUCCUCCAUGCCCCUAAAAACGGAGCAUAGGAAAAUUAUUGUGAAGUAUUUGAGAGAAAAAGAAAAAAAUUGUAAUUUUUAGAGUAUAGUUAUAUUAUACUUCAAAAAAUGGAGUAAAGCUACAUUCCACAUUUCCACUCUAAACGGAUUUUUUUUUUUUUUUACUAUUCUUGGGCUCCCUUAUCCAAAAAUGUAUCAAAGUUUUAAAUUUUAAAUUUUAACAUAAAAUUUUAAGGGAAAACUUCAAAAACCCUCCCCGUGGUUUCGUACUUUUUCAUUUUAGUACCCUAUGGUUUAAAGUAUAUCAAGUUAGUACCCUGUGGUUUCGCACUUUCUCACUUUUGCCCUGUGGUUUAAACUGUACCAAGUUAGUACUUUGUGGUUUUAUUUUUGUAUCCAGUUAGUACCCUAUGGUUUUAUUUUUGUAUUAAGUUAGUACCAUGUGGUUUUUAAACUACAUGGUACUAAAGUGAGAAAGUACAAAACCACAAGGUACUAAAGUGAGAAAGUGCGAAACCACGUAGUACUAACUUGAUACACUUUAAACCACAGGGCACUAAAGUGAACAAUUGCAAAAUUACAGGGUAGUAACUUGAUACACUUUAAACCACAGGUUACUAAAGUGAGAAAAAGUGAAACCACAGGGGGGUAUUUGAAGUUUUCCCAAAUUUUAACUUUCAAUCUAGAUUUUCAAUUUAAAAUUUUAAAAUUUUAAAAUUCAAUUUAAAUUUAAUUUAAAUUUAAAUUUAAAUUUAAAAUUUUAAAUUUUCUCAGUUUAUAAUUUCAAAUCUUAAUUUUCAAAUAUCAAAUAUUAAUUUUCAAUUUUCAAAUUAUAAAUUUCAAAAUUUGUUUUAAAUUUUAAUUUGAAAAUUUUAAAUUUCAAAUUUCAAGUUUCAAAUUUCAAAUUUAAAUUUUAAAUUUCAAAUUUUUAAAUAUGUAAAUUUGAAUUUUUUUUAAAUUUGUAAUUUGUAAUUUUUAAAUUUAAAUUUUCAAAAUUUAAAUAUAUAUUUUUGAUUUAAAUUUCAAAAUUUAAAGUUUAAAUUGUACAUUUUAAAUUUUAAAAUUUUUAAAAUUUUAAUAAAACUUAAAAUUUCAAUUUAAGUGUAAAAUUUUAAGUUUAAGAUUUAGGUUUCAGAUUUCAUAUUUCUAAUUUCAAAUUACAAAUUUCAAGUUUCAAACUUCAAAUUUUAAUUUUGAAAAUUCAAAAUCCAAAAAUUUAAAAUUUAAAUUUAUAAUUUCAUAUUUCAAUUUUAAAUUUUAAAUUUUAAAUUUCAAAUUUCAAACUUUAAAAUUUGAAAUUUAAAUUUAAAAUUAAAACCUCUAAUUUUAAACUUUUAAUUUUAAAUUUUAAAUUUUAAAAUUUAAAAUUUAAAAUUUAAUUUCAAAUUUUAAAUUUUAAAUUUCAAAUUUUAAAUUUUAAAUUUCAAAUUUUAAAUUUUAAAUUUCAAAUUUUAAAUUUAAUACGUGAAUUUAAAUUUAAAUUUUAAAUUUUAAAUUUUAAAUUUUAAAUUUAGUAUUUUGAAUUUUAAAAUUUAAAAUUUUAAAACUUUAAUUAUUAUAAAUUCUGUGGAGUUGUACGAUAUUUAUGGAAAUUUUUUUUAUAGUUUUAGAAUUUCAUAUUUUAUUUAAAUCAAAAUUACAGAAUAAAAAUUGUAUGAAGUUUUUUAGCUAUGAAUACAAAUAAGGCCUAAACUGUAAAAAGCGUUAAGGAAUUGAGACACUUUUUUUUAGUACUUCAGCUUUUAAAAGGUCUCACAUAUUCUCAAUUAACUGAACCGGAUGAACAAUCGGUUCACGAUCCAACCGGUCGAACCGGACCGGUUCAACCGAGUUACAAAACAGACCCGUCAUUUCGCGACCAGAUGUUCGUCUCUUCUCACCCCUUCGUAUCAUCCGUCGCUUAAUUAGCGCAUACGGGGGCCGCGGCUAAACCCUAGAAAAAGUACAAAGGGAUCUCCCCCAAUCUCCCUCCAUCUCAAGCCCUAGCGAAGGUUUCGCUUCUCUCUCCGAUCCCCAAUGGAGGAGGAGGAGCUCGAGAAAGCGGUGCACGCGUACUUGAGGAAGAAGGGCUUCAAACUCAGCGACCUCGCGCUUCAGGAUCAGAAUCGCCUCUCCGCCUCUUCCCACAACGAUCUCGUACUCACUAGGUUUGGAUUCGCUCGACGCCCUUCGGUUUUCUUUGUUAGAAUCCCCGAUAAAGUAACUCAAGUUGAUCGGGGACUAGUAGGAGAUGCACAUUAGAAAAAAGAAAGAUUUUUGUUUGAUUAUGUUUGGUUUCAGUAAUGUCUUCAGCUUGGUCUAGUUGACUAUGCUAAAUUAAGAGGGUUUGAGGUAAUAUUAUUUGUUAAUUUGGGCGAAUCCCUUCCUUUUUUUUACUUAGAAUCCGAAUCUAGUAACUGAAGUUGAUUAAGUAUUCAGCAUGAGAUACGAACUAACGAAAAAGGUAGAUCUUUGUUUGGUUUGUCUUGCUUACUGUAGUUUCGUCAACUUGUUUUAGUU